rnacentral:lncRNA from 1 species
UCCGGGCUGGAUAACCCCACUGACUAUGCUGUCAAACCGAAUCUUGUGUGAUCCACCGGCAACUGUAACAUUGAAGUCGCACGAGGCGGGGAGGGUCACCUCAACGGCACCCCCAUCAUGGUUCACGUACGACUUCACGCCCAGAGGCAAGAGAGCCCGCAGGAAGUUGUUUUUCGCCAACAGGUCGUAUGCUGUGUCGGAGGUGGCCGCUUGGAGGAUGGAAGCCAUGAAUACGAUGAGGAGCAGAUGCUGGAUGGCCAUGGCUAGCUAACUGUUGCUGCUUACAAAUUGUAUCAAGGAAUAUGAGGAACUGAGAAGUAAGUGUAGACUGAGGCCCUGGCCACGUAUUAUAUAUGCUGCCCAACGAAAUCAAAGUCAAUCGUGCUUUAAUUGCAUUUAUUUUGUUCCUGAUUGUCACUCCAUCAACCGCCUCAUCAAAUAUGCUAAAAAUAUCAUCCCAUUAAAUCAUAUUUAUUUCUGGCCUAGAACAUUCUAUAGUUAAUGGUUAUGCCAAAACGUUCCUCAAAUCUUCAUAAUCAAUACGUACCAUAAAAUGAGACUGAAAUUUCAGAGCAACAUUCAUUUACGUACUUCACAGCCGACAUAUGAAACAUAUGCAAAAACCUAAAAAUGAAUCAAGGGGAAACAUCAACAUCCCAACAGUUUGAUCCUUGAUGUUGGCUUGGGUACCAAUGAGGCUUCUCUUCUCUUCAAAUAAUGUUGUGCAGUGCAACUAAAACAUAAAACACCCGCAAGAAAGAAAUAUUUCAUUUAGAUAUACUUGAGUUUUACAUGAGUAUGCGGUGCAAUAGAAUGAUUAUCUCCCAUUGUGCAGAUCAUCUCUUUCAGGAUGCCUACUCAGGCCAGCACAGACUCAUACAUAACAUCUCCGUCAAAGUUUCCACACUGUUAUAGCAUGAACUCCCAGACCGUGAGAGAGGCUCAGUACCCAUAUCCAAAAUGAAGAGUGCGGAGGAGCAGGUGCCUACCCCUCCACCUUCCACUUCUCUUAAAAUUUUCCUGUGCAAUGCAACUAAACUAAAAAACAACUCCAAGCAAUAUAUUCAAUUUAGAUCUUGUUACGUCUCCAACGUAUUUAUAUUUUUUUAUUGUUCCAUGCUAUUAUAAUUGUUGGGUCAUGAGCCAAAAGCAAGCCAUCGAACAUGCCAGUGUUGGAUUGGAUGAGAUUGUCGACCGCCUGAAGGAGGUUCUCAUCGUGAUCCUUGAAGAGCCGGUCCAGACCUACGGUGAAAUACGCUCGUUGAAGCGCGUACACGCCGCACCUUUCCUCGGACGGCUUGUCCAUCGCCUCCGCUCACGGCCGAUCACGCCACCGCGUCCCGUGAUGGUGUCGCGGCAACUCCAGGACCACUUAAUCUUAUACCAAUUGUGAGCAACUCACCUGAUCAAGAGGAAUUGCUAGGGAUUAGAAUUCGAAAUUGCGGAAAUUGGUUCGUUAGCUAGCCGUCCGUCCACCCUCACAGCUACACUACACCGCCUGUUGCCAUCAUCCAAUUCCCAGCCAGGAGAUAGGAGAGAGUUAUAAUUCCUACUAGCUUAGCCCGCGCGGCGACACGCCGCGCCCAUCGAUCAGUCACGACUAUGUAGACUAUGGUCCAAGCAAUAGAGUAAUAAGUAGUUAUGAUGAAAUUUGUUGCAUGACUUGAGGCUUUUUAGCAAAUUGUUUUGUUCACAACAAUUUAUAGACACAAAUAUCUAUCUUUCAUGGAAACUUUUAGUUUAUUUUGUACAUAGCAAGGGUCUGUUCACCAAGUUGAAACAAAUAGACAACAUGACCAAAAGUAAGGAACUUCGAAACAGUGCUUUCGUAGCUAAAAUUUAAUAAUUUUUCACAUUUCAUAACAUAAAUACUUAACUAAAACUUACAUCUGAUCCGAAGUACAACCAUUGAGACAGUAAAAAAACAACUAUUUUGAUCAUCACAAAAAAAUUAAUGUGCAUUUCAUGGAAAAAGUUUAGAGACAAAAUAAUUUAGCCAAGAGAAAAACUAUUUCAGAUCACAAAAGGCGCUCCAAAGAGUAAUUGUGUAUAUUAUUCAAAAGAACACUUUGUUACCUUCAGAGGCUUUAAUUAGCCCCAUUGCAUCUUGUGGAAUCAUGCAGUGAUACAAAUUCUUACCAUAAACAACAAAAUUAAGCAGCUCUUAAUAUAGAAACAACCAUAUCACUCUGAAUCAAGGGAGCAUGAUGCGAUGAACUGAUGAUGGGGAAUCUAUGGUGGCAUAUACCCAGGAAACAGUGUUCAUGGAAACUUUGUUAAACAACCCCUUGCUCAGCUUAAAAGUAUUCCUUCCUGGGUCUCCACUGAAACAAAGCUAUAUUUAUACACCCACAUGUGAGAACAAUAUGAGCCAUUGUUUGAUAUAAAACCAACAAUGCUUGAACAUACUUGUUUCUCUACCUCACCAUGUGGCGGCCAGAAAAAGCUUUAACAAAUUAAAAACCACUUGCAAAUUGAAGUUGAGAGCCUUCACUUAUUUCUCGAAAUGGAAGGAGGAAGGGGCCUUAAUUUGUCCCAGUAACCCCAUGAAUAUAAUUAGCCAAAUAUGCGGCAUUUCAUCUUAUUACACGGUCAUGCUGAAGGAGGGAACAUCAAUAAAAUUAGGCAUAAGAAAUCCAUCAAAUGAAGAGAGAUGUACUUAGAAAUAAGAAUAACAAACAUUCUCAGAUACUAUGUACCUUAUCCUGCCUCUAAGAAUAUGUCAAGAAGGUGAAUCAUUCACUUUUAUGUUACCGUUGCUGACAACGGACAACUGUGGAUGGAAACAAAAUUCUCGGCAAUGCAUAUAUGAAACUAAGUAACAUGACUUAGAAAAUAUAAUGUAAAAUAUCACAAUAAACUACUACUAAGUAUGUUCAAUAGUAAUACAACCUCAGUUUGUACCCCGGAAAUUUCUAUCACCAAAACAUCUUAGAAAGUUCAGUGCCAGUGAUGUGCCUGCCAUAAAACCGAAUGCCAAUUUUCAGUUAAAAAAUAACCGCGCAAGACCAUAUUCUUCUGCCACCAAGGGUAUAUGAUCGAGUGGGGCCAACUAAAGACAUGCCCCACGAUUCCAUUUUUUAAUGUAUGUUGUUGUAUAAUGAAUGACGGGCUUGUAUGCUUACAUGACUAUUUGGUUUUUGAUGUGAUGAAAAUUGGAGGGAAAGAUGCUGGACGGACUAAUUUGAUCAAUCAGGUGAGUAGAAGUAUUAGAGUUUUGGCCAUCUCAUCCAUUAAAUUUGGAUGGAGGGUAUGCAUCUUAAUAUGAUAAACAUAUAUGCAUACCGUAUAUGGGUUAUAUACAUAUAAAAAUCAGUGCAGCAGGCCUUUUUUCUGAAUCUAAACAUCUUGGUGGCCGAGUUCCAGUGUGAAAAUAUUGGUUUUAGUCCCUGGUCAAAUGGACUGAUGCAUAUUAUGUUUGGUUGUACCACGAAAAAUAAUUUGGUUGCUUUAAGAUAUUCAACCGAGGUAGACGAUGCAAUUUUGGCUGACAUGAAGUUUUACGAUCAUCAAUACAGCAGAAUAUGCAAAAGAUGGGAUAAAGCAAGUCAUAUCUACUCCCUCAGUCCCAUAAUAUAACAGCGUUUUUGACAUGAUGGAGGGAGUAGUUUGUUUAUUUGUUUGAGGAACACUUAUUUGCGGAGAAUAAUGAAGUGUGCUUGCACCGGUAGACAUGAGAUGAACUUGAACAAACGAUCUGCAUUCAUAUAUGCAUUGUACCAGAAAUCAGUGCUGCUCUGACUUGCCUCUGCAUUGCCUCUGAACCAGUGUUGAUCUAUAUCGGAGAUCAGGAAUUUACUCAUCAGGUCACUGCAUCUACUUUAUUGCGAUUAAACCACCAAACUCAAAGAAAUACCAGCAAUUUAUUUAAUAGUCUUAUUUGACUUUUUAUUCAGAACGCAUUGAGCUAUUUCUUUUUCCGAGCUACAUUCUUGUACAUUGGAUUCUCAAGGAGCAUCACUUGCGAGACAUGUCUUCACAUACUACCAUUUCAGAACACCACUCCCUUCACGCACAGGACAUACAUGUUCUACAUCCACCCCUCACACUCCUAAUUUCAAACCGAGUUGGCAGGCUAUUGUAAGGAAGGUAAGCAACCUUCUAGAUGGAAUAUUGGAAUUUACUCUGGCAAGGUAGGUCUUAAACAUAUUAUCAUCUGGCUAUCUACUGUUUGAGCUCCCCAUGCUGCUAACACCAUCAAAUAUUGUUUGCUCCGUACAUCUUCAUAUGCCAAUUUGACCUUUUUUUGGCAGACACAGUAUCUCAGAACAUCUAAAUUGACUCCUUGCAUAGGUCUCUGAAUUGACACAAUCAGAAGGAUAAAACAAUCGCUAGAGCUCUUAUAGGAAGUCACCCAUCAUUUGACUUAGACUAAAGAAGGUGUCUAUCAGAAAAAAAGGAACAAAAAGUAAGUGCGAAGAAACACAUGUAGGGUUGCACAUAAUUUGUAAGAGAUGAUCAAGGCAUAUAGUUGCAGCAAGUAGCAAAUGGCAUGAAUUUAUUCAUGAUGCACUCACGCAUCAAGGGUGUAAAUCUUCUUUAGCUAGGUCCAAAUGCAGAUAGAUACAGUACAGGAAUGAUGUGUGAUAUGUCAUUGUAGGUUUCAGACCUGAUGAAAAGUUUAUUACAGUACAUGAAAAAUAUUCAUGAAACGGUUAUACAGUACAUGAAUGAUGAGAAAUCGGAAAUUUCUGUACAGGAGUGAUGUAUAAUAAAUUGCUGAGAGGAAUAAAGAAGAUGCAGAAUGUCUGAAACUUCUCAAAACCAGAGACAAUUAUACAAAAGCUACCUGACCGAGUAUACGGCUAGGAAUCUGCCUAAUUCAGUGUCUCUUAUAACCCGCCAACGACUACGGCGUAAUCACCAUCACUGCGGCUCAACCAGAAUUCGAUCGAAUAAUGAGGCAAAUGAAGUAGCUAAUAUGGGGUAAAUGCACACUAACUUGGCAGCAAGAACAGAUGGGUCGUAAGCGCCUUCAGUGACCCUACGACCUGCAAAUGGCAGUAUACAGACAGUACGCCUUUACUCCGAAUAACCGAGGAGGAGCUGUCCUUAUGCUCUUUUUUUUGCGGGGGAGCUGUCUUUAUCCUCCACUCAAGCUAGCUAUACUUACAAAGUUAGAGCUAUAUAAAGUUUUGAAGCGUAGCGCUGUGAAUGGAUCACUCGUCCAGCAGCCUCCUGACACAUAAAAUAGGCAGAGCGAGCAUUACAAGGUCCCAUAACUCGGGGUCAGGCUUCUCGAACACGAUGACGCGCACCACCGUGCGCCACGCCGACGCCAGGUAGUAGAGCGCGGGCCUCUUGCACUGGUUGUGCGCCAGGGGCUUCAUGUUGAAUGCGCGCGCCUUGUAGUCGGCGGGCCAGUACCAGUUCAUGAACGUCCGCGCCGGCAUCUGCAUCUCCCGCGCCAGCACGACGCCCUCGGCACCGUCACCACGAACCCCCACGCCACUGACACCAUCCACCAGUUCGCCGCGAUGUAGCAUAUCGACUGGUGCAUCACCCCCGUCGAACAGCCUCCGCAGAGACGCCGGGCGCGAACGCACGUUGGGGAUAAGCGGUCGAGGUGGUGCAGCGAGUCAGCGACACCAGCGGUGCCACCUGGUGGGCGGCGAGGAGGCCUAGGAGGUCACCAUACACGCCUUACUCGUGGAAGCCCGAGUGUCGGCACUCCCAGCUCCGCCAUGCCCCAUGCACGAUGUAGUAGGGGACGGCGAGGAGGUUGUUCGGGAGGAAGACCGUGUUGUCGACUUGUCGUCACCCAUGACGAACCAGCGUACACCUGGGAGACUGAGGCGGAAGGUCUCGGAGAUGACGGUCGACGUGUGAGAUGCAUGCGGAUGGCAGAGCGAUGACCGUGCGUGUAGGAGAAACCGGAGGUAUCCGGUAAGAUCUUGAUGUAUAUGCACUCCUUCCGCUUCUCCAACAGGCGCGCCAACGCCGUGAAGCCGAACACUACAGCGUAAUCGUCGUUGUCAACACCGUGGCCGUGGCAGGUUGCGGUGGUGGUGGCGUACUCGUCGUCAACACCACCGUAUCUGUGGAGGGUGGUGGUGGCAUCCUCGCCGUCGACACCACCGUGACCGUGGCGGGCAUCAGCAGGGGCCUCGCCAGCGGCAACGUGACUAAUCAGGAGGAUAGCGUUGUGGGCGGCUUCUUCUGGGUGGAGGCAGCCGGGCGCUGCCACGCUGGGCAAGAUGCUAUGUGCGAAGAAGAGCCCUUUUAUAGGCCAGUACGGCGGUGAAUGGGUGGCUGGGUUAUGCACCGCACUGGAGCAGAGUUUUCGGGAGCGUCUAGAACACACGGCUGGACAACAGCAGUAGUAACAAAAAGGUACAUAUCGAUUGGGCCAGAAGCGGUCACGACAGAAAUACAGAGAAGCAUCGAUGUGUCUGGAAAGGGAGAUUUCGAUUGGGCCAGAAGCGGCCGCGACAGAAAUACAGAGAAGCAUCGAUGUGUCAACCAAGCGAUCGCCACACCCGUUGAAGAAAUUUGAAUCAAAAAACUGAACACACCACUCAUUUCUACCCUGCCGUGUACCAAAAAAAUACCACGCGCCAUACCCACAACUCACCAUAGGUCACUUUCAUCCAAUUGGUUUAAUCUCAAAGCGAAAACCUUGCCUGCAAUAGAGGCUUGGGUAUUUAAACUAGUGAUCGCUAACAUAGUAGAAGGGCGUGCUCAUAGUCCAUCAACCAUCGCGGUGGGUUGAUCUCGAACCUAGGCUGCGGUUAGAGCAUAAAAAUUGUAUGCGAUAUUGAGUCCAUCACACAAAGUUAGAACAUACAAACUAUGUGCAAUAGGAAGGGUCCAUCACACACGGUUAUAAUUAAAAAUCGUGUGCUCGGAUGGGUUGGCGAUUGGGGUGCCAAUACACACGCUUUCAAAACGGUGUGCGAUGAAUGGGCUCGACUAGGUCUAACAUAAGUGCUACAUUAUACAAUUAUUCAUUUUUUACAAGCAAACAUAGCACCAGACAUAAUUCACAAUUGGACAACCCAUCGCACACUCUACGAUAUUUUGUUCUGCCAUUUCUCUACUAAUGGACAAAAGGCACUCGGCUUACAUCGGUAUGCCAACAUGAUGUACCUUGAGUGCGUUACGCUGAGUGUCAAACCCGCCGAGGCAAAAUCAGCCUUUGCUAGGGGGUCUGCACACCCAAUGGCGGAGCUAUGUUGGNNNNNNNNNNNNNNNNNNNNNNNNNNNNNNNNNNNNNNNNNNNNNNNNNNNNNNNNNNNNNNNNNNNNNNNNNNNNNNNNNNNNNNNNNNNNNNNNNNNNNNNNNNNNNNNNNNNNNNNNNNNNNNNNNNNNNNNNNNNNNNNNNNNNNNNNNNNNNNNNNNNNNNNNNNNNNNNNNNNNNNNNNNNNNNNNNNNNNNNNNNNNNNNNNNNNNNNNNNNNNNNNNNNNNNNNNNNNNNNNNNNNNNNNNNNNNNNNNNNNNNNNNNNNNNNNNNNNCGCCACUGUGCACACCCAGCUUAAUAUGCUUUCUUGUAGUGGAGAAAUUUCAACGUAUGAUGUAAAAUAGCCGUUGUGUCAAAAGAAUUGACAGUUAGGUCACUUUGGGCCAAAAAAAGUAUCCAAAAGAUGCCCUAUAUACCUAUAUGUUGCAAAAUAAAAUUACCCAAAAUUUUGUCACACACAUCUAGUAGCUGCGUUGAAACCAAAAACAAUGCAGCAGGAACCCAACCACUAGCGAUGAGACUACCCCACCGCCGACAGUCGCCACCCCACACCUACUCUGACCGACUGUGCAGCGCAUGCCGCCGCCGCGACUCAAUCGGCCAUUCUCAGCCCCGCUACCACCCUGCCGCUUGGGAUGUCCGCUACCAAAUCUUGGGCCGGCGCAUCCGAUUCCACCGACUCUGGCCAUAGAAAGUUGGUGUAGCUACCGGGACAUCCCCCUUCAGUAUUUUGGCUAAUUUUGAACUUUUUGUCCGGAUCACAAGAAAAUGUUAGUAUCGUCCAUGUUGCUGAAGGGGAAUUACUACUUGGGGAUUUGCUCACUGAAUAUUGGAAUAUACUUACUUUAUGCAUGCCAUCAAAUAUAGCUCAUCCCCUGAAAGAACAAAGAUUGCUGAUGUUUUUUUCCACGGUUUUCUAAACAAUGUUGAUCUUUUUCAGAGAAAUGCAAUGAUUAUUUUUAGAGAACAUUCUGCAAAUCAACUAAAUAAGAGUCUAGGCAUUCUUCUUGUUUUUUUCGGGGGGAAGGUGUCUAGGCAUUUAUUAACAUGUAGAACUUACAAUGCAUGGGGAAUGAAAGAUCAAAUAUACCUUGCUCUCCUUUCUUAUUUUAGUGGCUGUUAAUGUCAUCAUAAAGAAUAUUACACAUUAGGAUUGAGUUGUUUUGCUCUUCUAUUUUCCAGUAAGCCCUGCGAUAUUUUACAACCCAUCGGACACCCUUGUGGAUCUGAUGCUAUGUAGAUCAAGAUUAUUUCUAAUUACCUGCGAGACACCGACAAAGUAUAUCAUGUGGAAUUUCUUGUUCCUGUGGUUAGACUGGAUCAGAAUCUAUCAGUUGAUUUUUAAAUCCGUGUUCUACAGCUCUAAGGUAGCCUCUCUGGUAGUCCCUAGUUCCUAAAUUUGUUGUUUGUUAAUUGAAGUCGAUGCCCAGAAUUGUUUUUCACAAUCCAAUCAUUGGAUAGGAUUAGUGUGUUGAAAACUGCACUAUCUGUGCUUCAUUUAAAGAUGACACAAAAAUUAAUUUUGUAAUUGUUGUGGAUUGCAUUCCAAUCGAACCCAAUUUGCUCAGUUUGGAUUAAUGGUUGCUGAGGUAUCACCAGAAUGGUGCUGCUGUACAAGUAUUUUCAAAGUUGAGCAGAUAUUGUUUUUGCAACUUUUAACAAAUUUCUAUUCGCAAGAACUAGUCUAUAUUCAGAUAUGACCAGUUUCUUAUUACAACAUGCAUGAAAGACGUAGAUAACUUCAUGUUGAAUAUCCUGAUUUGUUUAUUUUCUUCAUUUUGUAAAAUGGAUCAUGAUUUAUAUCCUAGAAAUUCAUAUAUGACGUGCUUUGGAGUUCAAAUUAAAUGGAGAAUCCAAGCUAUGCUUGUAUAUUUACCUAAUAAUAAUUAAUGGGCUAGCUCUAGGAGAUAUUUAUACAUAUACUAUUAGGUAUUAGGAUGUUCAAGAGCCAAGAACAAUACAUAAAAAUUUUAUGUUUAUAUUAAAGGGGCCUCGGGUUUUACUUUCGCCCCGGGCCCCCGAAAUGUCAGGACCGGCCCUGGGAGCAAGCAGCAAGGGAUCAUCGGCUCCGGUGGCGAUGAUAGGCGGCACUGGUGAGACAGCGAACGACAACGCAUGAAGCAAGCAGUAAUGGAUCGCCGUCUCUCGUGGCGAUGAUCCGCAUCAGCGGCUGUGGGACGGCUAAUGACGACAUGCAGAGCAAGCAGCAAGGGAUCGCCGCUCGCCGGCUCCAUCAUGAUGAUCUUCGGCGGCGGUGAGACAGCCGAUGACGACGCACGAAGCAAGCAGCAAGGGACCGCCGUCUCUCACAGCGAUGAUCUGCAAUGGCGGUGAGACGGCUGAUGACGACGCGCGGAGCAAGAAGCAAGGGAUCGUUGUCUCCCCCAACGAUCAUCUUGCCUUGGCGCUGGGAGCGGUUAGCGCGGUCGCAGGGCGACCUUCAACAGCAUGACGAAAAACGUGGAGAGCUCGGUGGCGGCAUGGGUGAUCGCCACUGUUCCUGGUUCUGCUCGGUGUUGUGUUCUUCCUCCGGGACUUGAUGCAUUUAUUUCCGGUACGUGUGCGUGGCUAUCCAGUUUAAAAGACAACAACCACGGAAAUCCAUAACUCUUGGACUUCGGACCUACCUUUCGUGCUCCGCCUCCUAGUAAAGUGCCUCAGUCAGUGGGUUACCCUCCUUUCUUAUUUUAGUGGCUGUUAAUGUCAGAUAUCAUAAAGAAUAUUACCACAUUAGGAUUGAGUUGUUUUGUUCUUCUAUUUUCCAGUAAGCCCUAUGAUAUAUAACCUAUCGGACAGCCCUAGAUCUGAUGCUAUGUAGAUCAAGGUUAUUUCUAAUUACCCACGAGACUCCGACAGAGUAUAUCAUGUGGAAUUUCUUGUUCUUAUAGUUAGGAUGAACCGUUGCAACAUCGUCUCGCAAUAAAUAAUUGUGCAAAAAAAUUAUGAUCAUUCACAAUAAUAUUGGAUCUCGAAACCAUGACUUAUUACAUAAUCAGUUUAUUCACUCUACAUAAAGCAGCGGACUCAUAGAGACAUAUGCAUAUUGGAUAGUACAUUAUAUGGAAGGCGUGCAUGCAUCCCUAACCGAUCACACCCUUAGUUGCACCUGGGGCUCUGCACGAUUGCUAACCGGAAAUGACUGGUCAAACGUGGCUGCAUGCUCACUACCAGUAAACCUAAGCUUGUCACCGACACGUUGAACCGUAUGGAAUGCAAGAAAAUGCCACUCAAACUGGAUCCUGACGCCGCCCCAAUUGAGUAAUGGAUCCGGGCUGGAUAACCCCACUGACUAUGCUGUCAAACCGAAUCUUGUGUGAUCCACCGGCAACUGUAACAUUGAAGUCGCACGAGGCGGGGAGGGUCACCUCAACGGCACCCCCAUCAUGGUUCACGUACGACUUCACGCCCAGAGGCAAGAGAGCCCGCAGGAAGUUGUUUUUCGCCAACAGGUCGUAUGCUGUGUCGGAGGUGGCCGCUUGGAGGAUGGAAGCCAUGAAUACGAUGAGGAGCAGAUGCUGGAUGGCCAUGGCUAGCUAACUGUUGCUGCUUACAAAUUGUAUCAAGGAAUAUGAGGAACUGAGAAGUAAGUGUAGACUGAGGCCCUGGCCACGUAUUAUAUAUGCUGCCCAACGAAAUCAAAGUCAAUCGUGCUUUAAUUGCAUUUAUUUUGUUCCUGAUUGUCACUCCAUCAACCGCCUCAUCAAAUAUGCUAAAAAUAUCAUCCCAUUAAAUCAUAUUUAUUUCUGGCCUAGAACAUUCUAUAGUUAAUGGUUAUGCCAAAACGUUCCUCAAAUCUUCAUAAUCAAUACGUACCAUAAAAUGAGACUGAAAUUUCAGAGCAACAUUCAUUUACGUACUUCACAGCCGACAUAUGAAACAUAUGCAAAAACCUAAAAAUGAAUCAAGGGGAAACAUCAACAUCCCAACAGUUUGAUCCUUGAUGUUGGCUUGGGUACCAAUGAGGCUUCUCUUCUCUUCAAAUAAUGUUGUGCAGUGCAACUAAAAUAUAAAACACCCGCAAGAAAGAAAUAUUUCAUUUAGAUAUACUUGAGUUUUACAUGAGUAUGCGGUGCAAUAGAAUGAUUAUCUCCCAUUGUGCAGAUCAUCUCUUUCAGGAUGCCUACUCAGGCCAGCACAGACUCAUACAUAACAUCUCCGUGAAAGUUUCCACAAUGUUAUAGCAUGAACUCCCAGACUGUGAGAGAGGCUCAGUACCCAUAUCCAAAAUGAUGAGUGCGGAGGAGCAGGUGCCUACCCCUCCACCUUCCAUUUCUCUUAAAAUUUUCCUGUGCAAUGCAACUAAACUAAAAAACAACUCCAAGCAAUAUAUUCAAUUUAUAUCUUGUUGGGUUAUGAUACGUCUCCAACGUAUUUAUAUAUUUUUUAUUGUUCCAUGCUAUUAUAAUUGUUGGGUCAUGAGCCGAAAGCAAGCCAUCGAACAUGCCAGUGUUGGAUUGGAUGAGAUUGUCGACCGCCUGAAGGAGGUUCUCAUCAUGAUCCUUGAAGAGCCGGUCCAGACCUACGGUGAAAUACGCUCGUUGAAGCACGUACACGCCACACCUUUCCUCGGACGGCUUGUCCAUCGCCUCCGCUCACGGCCGAUCACGCCACCGCGUCCCGUGAUGGUGUCACGGCAACUCCAGGACCACUUAAUCUUAUACCAAUUGUGAGCAACUCACCUGAUCGAGAGGAAUUUCUAGGGAUUAGAAUUCGAAAUUGCGGAAAUUGGUUUGUUAGCUAGACGUCCGUCCACCCUCACAGCUACACUACACCGCAUGUUGCCAUCAUCCAAAUCCCAGCCAGGAGAUAGGAGAGAAGUAUAAUGCCUACUAGCUUAGCCCGCGCGGCGACACGCCGCGCCCAUCGAUCAGUCGCGACUAUGUAGACUAUGGUCCAAGCAAUAGAGUAAUAAGUAGUUAUGAUGAAAUUUGUUGCAUAACUUGAGGCUUUUUAGCAAAUUGUUUUGUUCACAACAAUUUAUAGACACAAAUAUCUAUCUUUCAUGGAAACUUUUAGUUUAUUUUGUACAUAGCAAGGGUCUGUCCACCAAGUUGAAACAAAUACACAACAUGACCAAAAGUAAGGAACUUCGGAACAGUGCUUUCGUAGCUAAAAUUUAAUAAUUUUUCACAUUUCAUAACAUAAAUACUUAACUAAAACUUACAUCUGAUCUGAAGUACAACCAUUGAGACAGUAAAAAAACCACUAUUUUGAUCAUCACAAAAAAAUUAAUGUGCAUUUCAUGGAAAAAGUUUAGAGACAAAAUAAUUUAGCCAAGAGAAAAACUAUUUCAGAUCACAAAAGGCGCUCCAAAGAGUAAUUGUGUAUAUUAUUCAAAAGAACACUUUGUUACCUUCAGGCUUUAAUUAGCCCCAUUGUAUCUUGUGGAAUCAUGCAGUGAUACAAAUUCUUACCAUAAACAAAAAAAUUAAGCAGCUCUUAAUAUAGAAACAACCAUAUCACUCUGAAUCAAGGGAGCAUGAUGCGAUGAACUGAUGACGGGGAAUCUAUGGUAGCAUAUACCCAGGAAACAGUGUUCAUGGAAACUUUGUUAAACAACCCCUUGCUCAGCUUAAAAGUAUUCCUUCCUGGGUCUCCACUGAAACAAAGCAAUAUUUAUACACCCACAGGUGAGAACAAUAUGAGAUUGUUUGAUAUAAAACCAACAAUGCUUGAACAUACUUGUUUCUCUACCUCACCAUGUGGCAACCAGAAAAAGCUUUAACAAAUUAAAAACCACUUGCAAAUUGAAGUUGAGAGCCUUUACUUAUUUCUCGAAAUGGAAGGAGGAAGGGGCCUUAAUUUGUCCCAGUAACCCCAUGAAUAUAAUUAGCCAAAUAUGUGGCAUUUCAUCUUAUUACAUGGUCAUGCUGAAGGAGGGAACAUCAAUAAAAUUAGGCAUAAGAAAUCCAUCAAAUGAAGAGAGAUGUACUUAGAAAUAAGAAUAACAAACAUUCUCAGAUACUGCUUUCUGCCACGGAUGGCUCUCCUUCUUCGGAUGCUGCUUUUUAUCGGUCUGUCGUUGGUGCUCUCCAGUACCUUACUCUGACUCGACCGGAGAUCCAGUAUGCCGUGCAACAUGUGUGUCUUCAUAUGCAUGCUCCUCGAGACAUUCACUGGGCUGCCGUCAAGCGGAUUCUCCGCUAUAUCUGUGGCACUAUGGAUCUUGGCGUCACGCUUCACGCCUCCGCCGACACCGCCCUGCGUACUCCGAUGCAGACUGGGCGGGCUGCCCUGACACUCGUCGUUCCACUUCGGGCUACUGUGUCUACCUUGGACCCUCACUUAUCUCGUGGUCGUCCAAGCGGCAGCCUACGGUCUCUCGUUCUAGUGCUGAGGCUGAGUAUCGUGCGGUGGCCAACGCCGUCGCCGAGUGUUCGUGGCUUCGCCAGCUGCUUCAGGAGCUCUCUUGUCCUGUUGACCGUGCCACGGUGGUCUACCGCGACAACGUCUCGGCGGUCUAUCUCUCCGCUAACCCGGUGCAUCAUCGACGGACCAAACAUAUUGAGUUGGAUAUUCAUUUUGUUCGGGAACAGGUGGCCCUUGGCCAUAUUCGUGUUUUACACGUCCAUACUUCCCAACAAUUUGCCGAUAUCAUGACCAAGGGCUUGCCUACGGCGUCAUUUGAGGAGUUCCAGUCUAGUCUUUGCGUCAGCCGCGGUGCCGCUUCGACUAGGGGGGGGGGGUGUUGAGUAUAUGUGUUAUGUGCAUAUUGCGUAUUGGGCCCGCCUUCUAGUUCAUUGUAUAGUUGAGGUCCGUGGCCCACCUUUAUACAUCAUAUAUACGUGCCUAUGCAUGAAGAGUAAUACAUCGUGCAAUUGCCACAACUCACAAUGUUGAACACGCCACUCCUCAAGAUCGUUGCAGCCUCGCUGCACCAGCGUCGUGAUUUUUCUGGCAAGCCGUUGGUCCCUGAUAUUAGCUGACGUUAGCUGACACAAGGGUCCCACUACGGCCGCCAUCGCUUGCCCCUUUGUUGUCGAUGCCAGGUGGGCCACUCACUUCAGCUCCUUCUCCAAGCCAGCCAGUUAAUCAGGUCACAAAACCAGCCAUGGAGCACCCCACCGAAUCCAGCCAAUCAGGUAUAGAACCUGUUGGCAUAAGCCAUGCCAUGUGCGGUGGCGACUGGCGUUGGGCGCGCCAGGUGUGUGUCCGUGUAUGCGUGGGAGAGGCCACCCGAGUCGUGUGUGCUGUGACAGUUCGUGCAUGCAUGUAGCUGGAUUAGUGGUCGCAGGUGGUGACCAAGCCACACGGGUCAUACGUGCAUCUAGUCUAGGUAGUUAGUAUAAGGAUGCAUGCAUUGGUUAGCGUGUUAGACGGCCAGUGGUGGUUGGAUUACUACGGCCCUGUUUGGUUCAUAAGUCCUACGAUUUUUUUAGUCCCAACUUAUAAGUUUCAAGUCCCUAAAAAGUCCCUACCUGUUUGGUUCCUGCGACUUAUAAGUCCCUAUAAGACCAUAUUACAACUAUAAGACCCUAUACGUUCCUCCUUGAAAGUCUUAUUUCAUAAGUCCCAAAUGCCUAGUUUAAGUCCCUAUAAGUCCCUCCUGUUUGGUUUAGAUGGGACUUACAAGGACUUUUUUAAGUCUCUUGUAACGUCCCGGAUACAACUUUCCAUAUUCGUAACUCCAACUCUUGCCUUUUCCGGAGAUGCGAUAUGAUAUUUCCUUCGUGGUUGGGUUUUGUCUGUUGUUUUGCAUUUUGUUCUUGUUAUGCAUCUCAUCUCAUGUCAUCAUUCGCAUUGCAUCGGCAUUGUUUUCGUAAAACUUGCAUCAGUGGCCUAAAAAUGUUCUCGGAAUGGGAUGCAACUUGGCGUGCGGUCUUAUUAUAGUGUAGACAGACCGCCUGUCAAGUUUCGUCGCAUUCGGAGUCCGUUUGACUGCCCAACCGUUAAACAUAUAGCGGCACCGUUGCCGGUGUUUUCGCUGGACGUUUCGGUCUCCGGAACAGUUGCCGGGCCUCACUUCUCUUCUCUCCUCUCAGUCGAGGCCUCUCUUCACAGCCCACCUAGACCCCCUAUGUCCGGAGCUGCACGAUCGCGAUCGUACGGCUCGAAAACCCCUCCAACCCUAAUCUUAACCUCCUGCCCUAUUUAAACCACCUUCCCCUUCCAAUUUUGGCAGCCUCCCCCCUCCUCCUCUUUUUCCGCAACACCCAACCCGCAGCCACCUCCUCCCACCUCGGGGGCCGCGCCGCCGCCUUCCCCCCUUCCAGAUCCGGCGCGCCCCAGCCUCCCUCCGCCACUUGUCAAGCCCCUAGUGGCCAGCCACCGCCACAUCGUCGCCUCCAACCACUCUGGGAGCGCCACAUGGCCUCGCCGCGUCCUCCUCGCCGCCGAGGCCCGCGGAAGCCCGCAACCGGACCACCCCGGGCCGCAUCUGGCCUCGGCGCACCCACUCCCCCACAACCGUGCCGUCUCCCUGCUCGCCCGAGCGAUCCAGAUCGGGAGAGGAGCUCCCGAUCCAGAUCGUGCCUCGCCGCCGCCUCUGGCCGAAGCCAUCUCGCCGCCGUCUCACCGCCCCGGCGGACCCAGGUCGCUGCCGCCCGGUCUCUCUCUCCCUUCCCUUUCUCCUUCCUCCCCUCACCAGCUCUCUCUCCCCCGCAGCUAGCCGCCGCCGCCAUGAACGCCUCCACCGAGCUCCGCCGUGGGCAUCACCACCUCACCGCCGGCCUCCUUCCGCCAGAUCCGGGCAGGGGAUGGUCGGAUCCAUCCAUCCCCAACCUCCCGCCGACCCCUACAACACCGGAGCGUUGCCCCGCCGCCGGUCUCCACCGCGUCGACCUCCUGCCUCGUCCUCGUUCGGGCAGAGGACGAGGGCAUCCUCCUCGCGCACGUGGGCCAGCGCGUCGCCCUGCUGGUGGGUCACCCCACCUCCAAGGCCCACGUCGCCUCGGCCCAGCCCCGACCGGCCUCAAGGCCCGAUGUGAGCAGCUCCCCGACGCCUGGGCCAGAUCUCAGAUUCGGCCCAGCGUAGUUUUUUUUCCGCUCUGCGAUUUGCUAAUUAUCCAGAGUUUGCAUAUUUACAGAUUAACCCUCCAUGUUCAUGCAUAUAAUAACUCAUGAACCGUGCAUCGGAUUUAAAUAAUUUAUAUAUGUAAAAUGCUUAGAAUUUUGUGUAGAUUAAUAAUAUGCUGCUUGCAUCCAUGUUUAAAAUGUUGUUUGCAUUUAAUUUGCUCAAAUGCCAUGCAAAAAUGAUUUAUUUCAUAACUAAAUAACCGUAGCUCGGAAUUUAAUAAACUUUAUAUGUAAAUGGGGUGGAAAAAUGGCUAGAUUAACAUGGUGCACUUUAUUUUGCUGUUUAACAAUAUUAAAAUUGUGUUUAGGGCAAAACAGUACCGAAUCUAAAAUAUGCACAUGGGGAUUUUUCCGGAAUUGUUGUUUGUUGUUUCCGGCCUCACUUAAACUUGCCUAGAUAGGUAGUUUAAUUAUGUUUCACCUCUUGCCAUGUUUAACAACAUUUAAUAUUGUUGUGUACCUAAACGAGAGCGAACUAAAUAACUCAGAUGUGGUGUUUCGUCAAUAUGCAACUCGUUGCAUAUUGAGCUCCACUUAACUUGUAUUAUUGUUUGUUGCACUUUGCCAUGCCAUGCCUCAUUAAACCGGACAUGCAUCAUACUUGUUUGUGCAUCAUGCCAUGAUUAUGCUUGUGUGUUUACCAUGUUGUUUGUUUCUUUCCGGUGUUGCUUCUUAGUUCCGGUAAUGUUGCGAUUGUGAGGAUUUGUUCGACUACGCCCGUUCAUCUCCUUCAUGGACUCGUUCUUCUUCCUUGCGGGAUUUCAGGCAAGAUGACCGCUACCCUGGAUCUCACUACUAUCAUUGCUAUGCUAGUUGCUUCGUUCUAUCGCUAUGCUGUGUUACCUAUCUUUUGCUCUUCAAGCCUCCCAAAUUGCCAUGAACCUCUAACCUUUGACACUCUUCCUAGCAAACUGUUGCUUGGCUAUGUUACCGCUUUGCUCAGCCCCUCUUAUAGCAUUGUUAGUUACAGGUGAAGUUGAAGAUUGCUCCAUGGUGGAUAGGGUUUUGGUUGGGAUAUCACAAUAUCUCUUAUAUUAUUAAUGCAUCUAUAUAUUUGGUAAAGGGUGGAAGGCUCGGCCUUAUGCCUGGUGUUUUGUUCCACUCUUGCCGCCCUAGUUUCCGUCAUACCGGUGUUAUGUUCCCGGAUUUUGCAUUCCUUACGCGGUCGGGUGAUUUAUGGGACCCCCUUGACAGUUCGCUUUGAAUAAAACUCCUCCAGCAAGGCCCAACAUUGACUUUUACCAUUUGCCUCACCACCACCUAUAUUUCCCUUGGGAGUAAUUAACCCAAGGGUCAUCUUUUUUUAGCCCCCCCCCCGGGCCAGUGCUUGUCUAAGUGUUGGUCCGAAUCGGGCAGACUGCGGGGCCACCUCGGGGCAACUCGAGGGUUGGUUUUACUCGUAGGCUGACCUAUCCGGUGUUGCCCUGAGAACGAGAUAUGUGCAGCUCCUAUCGGGAUUAUCGGCGCAUCGGGCGGCUUUGCUGGUCUUGUUUUACCAUUGUCGAAAUGUCUUGUAAACCGGGAUUCCGAGUGUGAUCGGGUCUUCCUGGGAGAAGAUAUAUCCUUCAUUGAUCGCGAGAGCUUAUCAUGGGCUAAGUUGGGACACCCCUGCAGGGUAUAAUCUUUCGAAAGCCGUGCCUGCGGUUAUUGGCAGAUGAGAAUUUGUUAAUGUCCGGUUGUAGAUAACUUGACACCAGAUUCGAAUUAAAACGCAUCAACCGCGUGUGUAGCCGUGAUGGUCUCUUCUCGGCGGAGUCCGGGAAGUGAACACGGUUUAUGGGUUAUGUUUGACGUAAAUAGGAGUUCGGGAUCACUUCUUGAUCAUUGCUAGCUUCACGACCGUUCCUUUUGCUCUGUUCUCGCUCUUAUUUGUGUAUGUUAGCCACCAUAUAUGCUUAGUCGCUGCUGCAACCUCACCACUUUACCCCUUCCUUUCCUAUUAAGCUUUGCUAGUCUUGAUACCCAUGGUAAUGGGAUUGCUGAGUCCUCGUGGCUCACAGAUUACUACAACAACAGUUGCAGGUACAGGUUAUGCGAUGAUCAUGACGCGAGAGCGAUGCUUGCUUGCGUUGGAGUUCUUCUUCUGUUUCUUCUUCGAUCAGGGGAUAGGUUCCAAGUCGGCAGCCUGGGCUAGCAGGGUGGAUGUCGUUUGAGUUUCUGUUUGUGUUUCAUCCGUAGUCGGAUGGUGCUCUAUGUAUUGUGAUGUUGUAUUCGUGUGGCAUUGUAUGCCUCUUGUAUGUAUCCACAUCUAUUAUAUAAUGUUGAUGUAAUGAUAUCCACCUUGCAAAAGCGUUUCAAUAUGCGGGUCUAUCCUUGGUGGGACCUUCGAGUUCCUUUUGGAUAGGGUCGCAUAUUGGGCGUGACAUCUCUAGACCAAUAAGUCCCUGGAAACAAACACCGUCUACGUGUGUGUCGUGGGGUUAGUGGCUGGUGUGAUGGCCGGGUCGUGUGUGUGCGUCCGGGUAUAAAAAGCCCUCCCAUGUAUUGAUUGAGGUGCGCCCGUUUGUUGCCGCGCCACGGUGACGGUAUGUGCCGAACCGAGGGGAAGGGGCCUAAGGAAGAUGUAGUCUUCAUCGGGACCGUGGUAUGCGCCUGGUUGAUGUGAGAGUUCUUCCGGGGUUGUGCUGCGUGUGUGUACCUCCAUGUAUGUGUGUUUGAGUAGUUGAGUUGAAUAGAAGCCAACAUACAGGCCGUUCGGCGGCCGGGGCGUUCGUCGCUGGAAAAUUCUGUUCAUCUUCUUCUACCUUCGUCCGGCGGUCGUCGUCGGAGGGCGGUUCGGCGUAUGUCCCCGGUGGGUUUGUCCCAACAUUUGGUAUCAUGAGCUUCGUUGUCUUGGGCGUCGUUCUCCUUGCCGGAGGAGUGCCGGCAGUGGCGGAGUUCGCCGGCGGCUGCGCGGUGCUCCGGGCCGUGUGUCGGCCUAUGGAGGUGCGCGGCGCUGCGACAGCGCGGCGAGGAGGCCGCGGAGGUCCUGCUUGGUGGCGCAGAGGCCGCGAAGGCGCGGCGGCAUUGUGUAGCACGGCGUCGGCCGCCCGAGCGCGUCGGCGUCGACGACGUGUGUUGCAGGCAGUGAAGGGAAUUGGCGUGCAUCGCCGGACACGAAGAAGAAGAAGAUGCAGCAGGGUUCACGUCUGAGAGGCUGUAGCGGCGGCCAUGGUGGCAACGAUGACGGGAGCUGCAGCGAGGACAACAGCGACGAUGUCAUGGCUUAGGAGGUGAGUGUUGGCAUAAGCCAUGCCAUGUGCGGUGGUGACUGGCGUUGGGCGCGCCAAGUGUGUGUCCGUGUAUGCGUGGGAGAGGCCGCCCGAGUCGUGUGUGCUGUGACAGUUCGUGCAUGCAUGUAGCUGGAUUAGUGGUCGCAGGUGGUGACCGAGCCACACGGGUCAUACGUGCAUCUAGUCUAGGUAGUUAGUAUAUGGAUGCAUGCAUGGGUGGUUAGCGUGUUAGCCGGCCAGUGGUGGUUGGAUUACUACAUGUGUGUCGUGGGGUUAGUGGCCGGUGCGAUGGCCGGGUCGUGUGUGCGCGUCCGGGUAUAAAAAGGCCUCCCAUGUAUUGAUGGAGGUGCGCCGGUUUGUUGCCGCGCCACGGUGACGGUAUGUGCCGAGCCGAGGGGGAGGGGCCUAAGGAAAAUGUAGUCUCCAUCGGGACCAUGGUAUGCGCCUGGUCGAUGUGAGAGUUCUUUCGGGGUUGUGCUGCGUGUGUGCGUGUGUACCUUCAUGUAUGUGUGUUUGAGUAGUUGAGUUGAAUAGAAGCCAACAUACAUGCCGUUCGGUGGCCGGGGCGUUCGUCGUUGGAAAAUUGUGUUCAUCUUCUUCUACCUUCGUCCGGCGGUUGUCGCCGGAGGGCGGUUUGACGUAUGUCGCCGGUGGGUUUGUCCCAACAGAACCAACCUCUCGUGGAUCAGCCAUGCGUAACCCUAGCGUCUGAUCCAAACUGUCCACACAUAGCGAUCUAAUGACAUGAAAGGGUGCGGGGUUUCAGGGGGGGUGGGGUUGAGGGGUUUUGAGAGGGUUUCAAGGGUUAAGGUUGAGCAUAAGUAAUUAAAAAAAUACAAAAAUAUGAAACAUGUGCAUCAUCGUUUUUAUGUGACUAAGUUGCUAGGAAAAAUAAGGAACUUGGUAUACGGAUAUUUUCAUGAAAAUCCCUUUACAGAACUUGGCUAUCAUGAAUGAGGUUGCAGUGUUUUCAAGGGAUAUGAGCUAGGGUUUAGGGUUAAGCAUGACAUAGUUUGUCCAAAUGAUCCCAUAUUGGGCAUGAACCCUAUAUUUGCACACUUUAUGUCAAGAUUUUUUUUCGCUCAUUUAGAGAAGGUCGAAAAAAAACUUGCAUAUAAUUGAUGUUGUUUACCCUAGCUUUGGAGCUCAUUUUUCAUGACUAUGAGUUUUACUUUCACAAAAGUGCUCGGAUUGAUCACCUCAAGUGCAUGAUAUUUGAAAAAGCAUCGAAACAUCAAUACACAUCAAAGUACAAAUUUGAAUUUUGGCUCAAAUUUGAAUAGUGUGUACCAAUAUACAUCAGAGUACAAAUAGCAUUACAUCACACAAGUUUCAAUACCACAAACCAAGAACAAGUUUGGACAAAAAGACGGGAAUACAUAGUGUGUACCAAUACACAUCAAAGUACAAAUAACAUUACAUCACACAAGUUGAUCCCCAUGUUUGUGCCAAAUAUGGUCACCUUAUUAUGAAAUAUUUUGAAAACUCCCUUGUUCGUAGGAAAAAUUAUAAACUUGAAAUACCAUAAAAUAAAAUAAAUUCUUCACAAAAUUGCCAAAUUUGAACUUGUGCACUAUUUAUAGAGAUUGUGCCAAAUCCUUCACUAUUUCUAGGAAUUUCUAUGAAGCAAGUAGCAGAAAUAUGAUAAAAUUGGCAAAAGUACAUUUUUGCGUCUUAUUUGUGAUAUUUGCUUCACCAAAAAAAACUUUAUUGGAAGUUGAAAAAUGAUUUUUAUUGUAACAAAUUUGGAAACUCCCUCUUUUGAAAGCUAUCUUUUUAGUGUUCAUUCUUAAAUACAAUUCUCUGAAAAUUGUGAGCAAUUUUUAUUAAAUUAGUAAGGUAAAUAGGGAUUUAUAGACAUUUUUUGCUAGAGUUGGACCAAGAGGGAAUUUGAUUAGGAAUUUCUAAAGAAGUCCUGUAUAUAUCAAAUAUAGAUUUAAAUCAAAGAUACAUAGAAAAACUUCAUGUAUAAUUAUGAAAAUUGGAUAUUAAAUAGGUCUGGAGAUCUGAUGAAUUUAUGAACUUGAAUCAACUCAACUAGAUUUAAAAUGAAUGUUCUAUGAAUUUAUAAAAUUGACUAGAAUUGCAAAAAGGUAUUCGAUACUGUUCAGGCGGGCUAAACAGAUCGACCCAAUUACUUAAAAUACCAAUCUGGCGCGCUUAAGGAGAUACGCACACAUGUCACACUGGCUCGACCCAGCUUUGUCUCUACGGGCUGGGAUGCGACGUCAAUGGCACACUAUUGAGGUGGUCCCACUCGUUAGGAUGUCAUCCAAGUAACAGUAAAUGGGCUUUUAUCCAACGGAAUGCAUCGUUUGGGCAUUUGCGAGGCCGGGGCCUAGUAAAGAGGGGAAAAGUGAGGAACGUGAAGGUGGCAGAGCAAAACUAAGUAGAACUAAAGAAUCAGGGGCACCAAAAUAGAAAGCCCUAAAUCCUAUGAACGUGCUCCUCGAUGAUCACGUAGACACUUCUCAAAUUGCUCAUGGUCGUAUGUUAAUACUAUUUGAGUCUAUUUUAGUUACGAUUUAUCUUAAAUUUAUAAUAGUGAGACUCAGCUGCCUCCUACUCCUCCAAAACAAAACCUAGGGUUCCUGCCUCUCGCCGGCACCACCGCAGGUCCGCCUCGCCUCCGGUGGUCCUAGGCAGGGCCGGCCCUGAGGGGGGGCAGGGGGGGUGGCCGCCCCGGGCCCCCAACAUCGAGGGGUCCCCUCUCAAGUAAAGUAGCCCAGGGAUUCUCCCCAAAAAAAGAAGCGACUAGGACUGGGUCGUAGCAUGGCUUCAGGCCUUUUGCAUGUUCAGCUUCAUAUGGCCCAAGUGGAUUGCUGGGCUAGGUAGUCAUGCAUGUACGCAUUAUUUCUCGGAAACAAAAACGCACGCACUAUGGCUGAUCGAUUAAAUCAGAUCAGAUCAGAUCAGCUCGAAGAGGGGCAAUGUAUCACGCACGGCGUUGGCGAUCGAGGGAACGAAUUCCGCUUCAGGCCGAACGCCCUUGCCAUCACCUGAUCGCCGUCUAGUCUCGCCUCUCGCGACCUUCAUGCGCAGCAGUAGCCAAGAGACGAGAGGGGACAAGGCCUGCUUAGACUGGAUCAGAAUCUAUCAGUUGAUUUUUAAAUCCGUGUUCUACAGCUCUAAGGUAGCCUCUCUGGUAGUCCCUAGUUCCUAAAUUUGUUGUUUGUUAAUUGAAGUCGAUGCCCAGAAUUGUUUUUCACAAUCCAAUCAUUGGAUAGGAUUAGUGUGUUGAAAACUGCACUAUCUGUGCUUCAUUUAAAGAUGACACAAAAAUUAAUUUUGUAAUUGUUGUGGAUUGCAUUCCAAUCGAACCCAAUUUGCUCAGUUUGGAUUAAUGGUUGCUGAGGUAUCACCAGAAUGGUGCUGCUGUACAAGUAUUUUCAAAGUUGAGCAGAUAUUGUUUUUGCGACUUUUAACAAAUUUCUAUUCGCAAGAACUAGUCUAUAUUCAGAUAUGACCAGUUUCUUAUUACAACAUGCAUGAAAGACGUAGAUAACUUCAUGUUGAAUAUCCUGAUUUUCUUAUUUUCUUCAUUUUGUAAAAUGGAUCAUGAUUUGUAGCCUAGAAAUUCAUAUAUGACGUGCUUUGGAGUUCAAAUUAAAUGGAGAAUCCAAGCUAUGCUUGUAUAUUUACCUAAUAAUAAUUAAUGGGCUAGCUCUAGGAGAUAUUUAUACAUAUACUAUUAGGUAUUAGGAUGUUCAAGAGCCAAGAACAAUACAUAAAAAUUUUAUGUUUAUAUUAAAGGGGCCUCGGGUUUUACUUUCGCCCCGGGCCCCCGAAUUGUCAGGACCGGCCCUGGUCCUAGGGCCAUGGGGGACGCGGUGGAUCCUGACAAGGGCCGGCGGAAGGGCUCCGUUUUUAGUCGCUUCUUUCAGUUGGGUUUGUGUCCUGUUCAGGAAGACGAAAUAGUGGCGGCUCCCUAAAGAUGAAAUAAAGGUCUCCCCGCCUAGUCCCUGUUCCGACGGUGCGUCUAGCAUCGUUGGUGGGCGUGUGAAGGCGUAUUUUCGGCGAAUCUACCUUUGGUGGAUUUGCUUGGAUCUCAUCGUUUUUUGUCCACGUUUGUGUGUCUCCGGUUUGGAUCCUUCUGAUCUACAUUAUUUUUCAUCGGCGGCGGUUGCUGUUCUGGUGUGUUGGUCCUAUGCGGCCUUAGCACGACGACUUACCGACUAUCUACUACAAUAAGUUGUGCCCAACUCCGGCAAUGGAGUGGUGAUGACGGCAGCGUGCCUUCGGCUCGCUUCAAUACUUAUAGUCGUCGCUAGGUGGUCUAGGAUCUGGUUGUAAUUUUUAUUAUUUUCGGUGUUCGUCGUACUGCCAUGAUUGAUGAUGAUUAGAUCAAAAGUUUUCUUGCAAAAUAGAUAAAUAAUACUCCCUCCGUAAAUUAAUAUAAGAGCGUUUAGAUCACUGCUCACUUAGGUCGGCUAACGAGGAGUAAUAGUGAGACUCAAGCUUCCAUAGCGAUUCGGUACCCUUAGCCAUUCUAUUGGAUCUUCAAUGCUCCAGAUUUAGGUUUGUGAACCACCAUCGCCCCAACGCUUAUUUGGCCCUCGUUCACCUCGUUAGCCGACCUAAGCAGGUCGGAUGAACGUCAAAAGGCGAAAUCACGGAGAGCACUCCAACUCUCCCAGGUUGCGACAAGUGGCACGAGAUCACUCCAACUUCCCCAGCUUGCGUCAAGUGAGGUGCUGUAUGAGUGCCACUUGUCGCAACCUGGGAGUUUUUCCUUUUUUUGUAGAUCAGAUUAUUUAAAACGUUUUAUCUUUUAAACCAUGCGUUCAAAUCUCCAACCGCUUUCGCCGUUGGAUUUCUCGCGUCGAGAUCUUCAAAACUAGAUCCCAUGUUGAUAGGUCUUGACGAACUUUUUUUUCAUGAAAAAACCGGACGAAAAAACCCGAUGAAAAAACCGAACCGGGAACACGGUUUUUUUUCCUUUUCGAAAGAGGCACACCCAUGCCUCUGACGAAAUCACAACCUUGCCUCUCGCGGAAAAAAAACCGUGCCUCUCGCGAAAUACAAAAAACAGAAAACGUGUUUUCCCUUUUCGAAAGAGGCACGCCCGUGCCUCUCGCGAAGCACAACCGUGCCUCUCGCGGAAGCAAAACUGUGCCUCUCGCGGAAGGAAAAAGCCCAGAAAACACGUUUUUUUCCCUUUCCAAGAGAGGCAGGCCCGUGCCUCUCGCGAAAGCACAACCGUGCCUCUCGCGGAAGCAAAACCGUGCCUCUCGCGAAAGGAAAAAAAAACAGAAAACAUGUUUUUUUUCGUUUCCAAGAGGCACGGCCGUGCCUCUCACGAAAGCAGAACCGUGCCCUCGCGAAAACAAAACCGUGCCUCUCGCGAAAAAAAUACGUUUUUUUGCGCAAAAAUAUUAUUUUUUUUUCAAAAUUAUUUUUUGUCGAAAAGCUAGGGAAGACCGGUGGAAAACCAAAACAUAAAAAAACCCGGAGAAAAACCGUUUAAAAAGCCGAAAACGCGUGCGGAAAAAUAAAAAAACAAAAGCCGAAGGGAGCGCCCAGAGCGCGACACGUGGCGAAUGGCUGAGAGCGCGCCAAAUAACGCUGAUCGUUAUGAGGCUCCCGAAGAAGCGCUCGUUAAUUAGUUGCUCCCGUCAAAGGUACGCUGCUCCGAACACUUACGUCAAUGUCAAUGGUUUUUGCUCGUCAACGCCCAUGUGAACGCUCGGUUUGGCCGGCCCAUUAAGCAUCCUUCGACCGCUCACUCGCUUGAUCACUAACCAGCUCGCUCGCUCGUUUGAUCGCUGGACCGGCUCGCUCGCUCGCUUGAUCUGUAGACAAAUUUGCUUGCUCACUUUCUAUUGGUUCGGAGAAACCAGUGAUAUUCUUUGGGGGGAAAACCAAGUCCCGGUUUUUAUGGGCUAAAAAACAUAAAUUAAAAAAAUAUUUGUUGAUUUGAAAAAAGUUCAUCAUGGUGAAAGAGUUCACAAAUUUGAAAAAUAAUUUCGUGGAUAUGAAAAUAGUUUGUGAAUUUCGACAAAAUUUCAUGAAUUUUGGAAAUGUCCAUGAGUUUUUAAGAAUUAUUUGUUUUUUUUCAAGAAUUUAGAAAAAUCUUUCCGAAUUCAAAGAAGUUCAUGAAUUUGAAAAUACUUCUGAAUUUGAAAAAGGUCCAGGAAUUAAAAUAAAAAUGAAAAUGAUAAUAAAAACAAUCUGAAAUAAAAAAAGGAAAAUAGGAAAAAAAACAGGAAAAAAUACUAAAAGAGACUAAAUAGAAAAAAGAAGAAAACCAAAAAAGCACAGGCACAAUCUUCUAGAAUGUUCACAAAACCUUUUUUUUAGAAACACCGGUAAUUUUAUGCAUACUCAUAACAAUUGAAGGUACACUGAUUUGGAUCUAAGAUCCAAGAAAAUACAAAGUAACUCCGAUGACUAAGUGUUACAAUGACACCUCUUGAAAACACCUUCUUCAAGGUAACAAUCUUUGCUCGAAGAAAUACUUCAAAGACUUCGAUAAAGAUACUGCAAUUGGACUGAAGCAACAAUUUUGUCACUCUUUUACCUACACGAACAUUACCAAUAAUGAUUUUUAAAGGUGCCACUGUUUCGGGCGUUUUCUCAUGAACCGGGCUGCUGUGGGCCGAGUGGCUGCCGAAGUGCUAUGAUCGGGCUGCUGAUCGUUGAUCUUUUUUUUUUAGCCACCGAUGUAGAAGAACACAAAUGUUGCAUGUGACCAACGUGCCUAAAAGAACGUCUUUCAAAAAUAUGUCGUUCAAGGACCUGUAAUAAUAGGCUGUUCAAAAAAGGACAUGAAAUAGUGUUGUGGAGGGAGAGACCCGUGUGUUGUAGCAGAGUGAAACUCGGGCCUGUGUGCUGGACCUUGUAGCAAUGAUUUGGCUUUGGAUAUCAUUUAGCUCUGUUUCCAAGUUACAAAUAAAACAUCCCAAAAAAACUUGUGGCUAACAAGAACUUGUUUAAACUCGUAAAUGUGUGCAUACUACAAUGCAAGUUGAUAUUAGACAUUGAUUGCAUGUACUCCUCCGUCCCAAAAUAAGCGUCUUAACUUUUACUAGUUCUAAUAUAAAUUUAUACUAAACUCAAGACUAGGGCUGGAAAAAAAGCUCGAAGCUCGCGAGCUAAAUGAGUAGCUCGUGGCUCGGCUCGAAUCGACUCGAACUCGAAGAAUAACGAGUCGAGUCGAGCUUUAGUUUAAGAUCGUUUAUAGACCAAGUUGAACGAGCCAAUCUCACGAGUACUCGUGUAACUCGUUAGGCUCGAUACAAAAGAUCAGCCACUCCCAAAACAAAAAAAAAUCAGCCACUCAGCACUCUAUGUCUCAGGCGCACAACACAAGGCCUAGCCGUUGAAGGCCCAAUCGCCUAGGAGACUCAUGCGUUAUAAGGAAACUAUUAUUGUUUAGUGAUAUAUAUGUUUAAUAUAUACAUAAUCAUUUUUAUAAUAUAUGAGGGUUUUAUGAUCAUAUCUUUAACGAGCUUAACAAGCUAAACGAGCCAGCUCGUGAGUUAUACGAGUCGAGCCAAUCUUGAAUUUGAGCUCGUUAUAAUAACGAGUCGAGUCGAGCUAACUCGUUAACGAAACGAGCUCUAGCGAGUCGAGCCGAGCUGGCUCGACUCGGCUCGAAUUCCAGCCCUACUCAAGACACUUAUUUUGGGACGGACGGAGUACAUUUUAGCUAGUAGUAGAUAUUAUUUGCGUGUUAAUUAUGUAAUUACCUAACAAAGAUAUUUGGUAUGGUGCAAAUUGCAUGCAUUAGGGCGGAUAUUAUUUGGUAUGGUGCUAAUUGCAUGCAUUACUAUUAUUUACGCAUUAAUUAUGUGAUUGCCACCGACGUCGAUAAUUUGUAUGAUAUUAAUUAAAUGUUAGGGCAUCUCCAAGGCGGAUCCGUAAACCUCAUGUAACCAUUCAGACCGUGCUUUCCGGACCGCGGAAGCCGUCCAACGCCAUCCUUUAUCGGUCCGCGGGACGGUCCAGAAGCGAUUAUCCGGCAAAACGGAGACAAAAGUGUGGGAGGUUUACGAGAGUCCGUACACGCGAAACGUACGAAUCCGACACCCCAGGCCCACCCAAAACCCUUUCCUGACCCCGCGACUCCAUCCUUCCUAUUUUCUCUCCUUCCUCCUUUCUCUUUUGCUGUCACCGCCGCUCCACUACCCCGACCACCACGCCACACCCCUGUCGAAAAUCUGCGUCUGCAUCAAUAAAUUCGGCGCCUAAUUAUAUUUCUUUACGGAGGGAGUACCUUAUUAGAAAUCAUACAUGUUGUGCCGCUUAUUCGAAUAUAUUACCAAAUGUUCUACUUAGACAAUUUUUUUUGCACAAUGACAUUCCAAUGCUUUUUUUUGACAAAAAUGACGUUCCAAUCCUUAUUUAUAUGUCGGUGUCACAUGUGUUAAUUUUGCAACGUAUACAUAACAUUACCCAUUAGGAUUGAGCCUCUAUCUUUACUGUAAGCCCUACGAUAUUUGACAAUCCAUCGUACACCAUUGGACAGUUUGUUUUUUUCAAAGGGCAUCCGAUGCUAUGUAGUUCUAAGCUUAUUUCUAGUUACUCGCAAGACUCCGACAGAGUAUAUCAUGUGGAAUUUCUUGUUCUUAUGGUUAGGAUGAACCGUUGCAACCUCUCGCAAUAAAUAAUUGUGCAAAAAAAAUUAUGAUCAUCACAAUAAUAUUAGGUCUUGGGACCAUGACUUAUUACAUAAUCAGUUUAUCCACUCUACAUAAAGCAGGGGACUCACAUAGACACAUGCAUAUUGGAUACUACAUUAUGGAAGGCGUGCAUGCAUCCCUAACCGAUCACACCCUUAGCUCCACCUGGGGCUCUACACGAAGUUGCUAACCUGAAAGGACUGGUCGAACGUGGCUGCAUGCUCACUGCCAGUAAACCUGAGCUUGUCACCGACGCGUUGAACCUUUUGAAAUGCAAGAAAAUCCCAUUUCACCUAUAUCCUCACGCCGCCCAAUUGGGUUAUGGAUCCGGGCCGGAUAACCCCACUGAUUAUGAUGUCAAACCGAAUCGUGUGUUGUCCGCCAGCAACCGUCACGUUGAAGUCGCACGAGGCGGGGAGGGUCACCUCAACGGCGCCCCCAUGGUUCACGUACGACUUCACGCCCAGAGCCAGGAGAGCCUGCGGGAAGUUGUUUUUCACCAAAGGUUGUACGCUGUGUCGCAGGUGGCCGCUUGGAGGAUGGAAGCCAUGAAGACAGACGAUGAGGAGAUGCUGGAUGGCCAUGGCUAACUGUUGCUGCUUACAAAUUGUAUCAAUAUAGGAAGAAGAGGAAUGGGGAAGUACGUCCAGACUGAGGCACUGGCCGCGUAUUAUAUAUGCUGCCCAACGAAAUCAAAGACAAUCGUAUUUUAAUUGCAUUUAUUUUGUUUCCAAUUAGCAUUUCAUCAAUCAGCUCACCAAAUAUGCUAAAUAUAUCGUCCAAUUAAACUGUACUUAAUUUUGGCCUAGUCAAACAUUUCAUAGUUUGCCAAAUUACCUUCCCUAAAUCUGCAUAAUCAAUACGUACCAUAAUAUGAGAUUGAAAACAUAUCCUAUAUACAUCAAUAGUUCACAUCCUCAUUAUUUUUAUUAUCUUAUAACACAUGCACAUAUGCUGAUAUGCAACAUCAUCAAACGUCCACCACAACAUGUAUGAAAUUAUUUUAUUAUUAUUAAUUAAUCCUCACCGAUUCUUUUUAUUUGUUUUGAUUGAAUACAGUACAGACGCAAGCUCUCAUAUACAUGUGCAUACACUCACCCCUAUGAACGCACACACUCACACCCUACCCCUAUGAGCACCUCCGAAAGACUGAGCCGGCAUAUCAUCUUAAAAUUUACGAAGGCACCAUAGGCACCUCGUCGUCGACGGGAAAGUUUCUCCCACCGAAUGUGCAUCGCCGGGAAUCCACAGUCCCUCUAACCAUUCAACCACAGGUUGGUUCGACUAAUUUCUUUUUAUUUCAACAUACACACAUAAGCCAUGCACAUAUGCCACCUUAUCGAAGGCCCACCCAACAUGCAUGGGGGAAAAUCCAUUAUAUUAUUUUACUACCUAUAUUCAACAAAUAUUUUCAACUAUACAAUAUAUAAUAUGUAUUCUAAGUUUUCUCAUAUACUAUUAAUUCAAAUGUUUCUUACAAUCAAAUCUUAUUGAAAUAUAUUGCAACAUAUUCUCGCAGCAACGCAUGGGGUAUCAUCUAGUUUCACUAGUAUACAUAAUCGAGCAUUGAGGUGGUUCUUGUACACAGACGACCAGCGGCUGUUUUCAGUUCCGCCUCAAAGCCUAUGUCGCUAAUACUCUGCACGGAGUCGGCUGUUGUGGAAACUACCUCCAAUAUCGUCGACAACACAUGCGGUUUUGUCCUGCUUCCAAUACCCUUCUUGCCACAGGCAAUUUUGUACGAAUAACCGCCUUCAUUUUAUAUGUUAGGGAUAUAAAUGUUGUCUUUUAGGUACUCGCCUCUACUAAUCAUAGUCAGAUGAAAUACUCCUCUAUUUUCGUAUUACUUAACCUGUCACGUGAUAAAAUUGAAAGUAAUUGUUCAAAUAAUCAUAGUCAUACAUAAUUCAUUUCCACAAAGCUUAGCAUCUCUUCUCUUAAAUUUUUCUUGUGCAAUGCAACUAAAAUAAAAAACAACUGCAAGCAAAAAUAAUAAUUUAGAUCUUGUUGGGUUAUAUUUGACAUAAUUAUGUUCGGGGGUCAACACAUAGGUAUAAAAUCUAGAAGGAAGAGAGACAAAGAUUCAGACCUCAGAUAACGCUAAUUCACCUUAAUUUUUCACAUUAAAGGUGUAACUGCUUUGACAAGCAUGAGUUAAAGAAUUUUGUUUAUGCUUCACCAAAACAAAAAUUCAAAGCUAGCGAUGCCUAUGAUACAAGUAAAGGCUACCAGUUUGUCAUUGGUCUAAAACAAAAACUUAACUAUACUCCCUCCUUUCUGGUUUACUUGGCCAAUCUUAGAAAUCUCGUCAACUAAAAAUCGUCAUAUAAGCAUAAAAUCGCUUACCCUAGAGGCAACAACUAUCCAUAGAAAAAUAUAUAAUCUGUGGCGAAAGAUUGGGAGCUCACCGUGCCGUAGAUUCGAAGGCCUCGGUGGAGGUCAGUGGCGGUGACGAUCCAAUGCAGCCAUCGUGGUGCCAUCGCGCAGCCGCCGAUGGAUGGAUGACACUGCGGAUGGAAAGAGCUUCAACUGUGGCGCUGCGGACGUCUGGAUUUACCACCGCGACACGAACGAGCGGAUCACCACGUUGUCGUGGACUAGGGUGGAAGGGUCAAAGGCUAUCAAAGGCAGGAAAGGGGAUCCUAGUAAAUUUGUGCUACAAGUUGUUCUGGCCUACACCGUGAACUGUGUUUCUUUAACUAAGGUCCUCAAGUAGCUUACUUCAGUAAUUAUGUUAUGGAAAAAUUCUGGUGCGACGUAUACAAUGGACAACGCAAGGUGCCUUGGGCCAGCUAGGAGAAGCUCUCGGUGCCAUGGAAAAGUUGAGGUGUUGGCUUUAGGGAUAUGGAGGCUUUUAAGUAAACAUUUUGGCUCGGCGAGGUUGGCAGAUCCUAAAUGAGUAUGUUUUUUUGUAGGACGAGCUACACGGUACCCUAUAUCCUCACCGUCCAAACUGGACCAGGUGCGUAUGGAUGUGUGCAAAGAUUCGUUCUCGAUGCAGGCUGUUUUGAGCCAUGCAGUGUCAUUAGCAGCUGGUACAGCUUUCUAGGCACGCAUGGCAGUGUAGUGGGGCAGUAGGGUAUAGGUCCUAGGUUCCUAGGAGUUUGUCCGCAUGGCGCACAGUACUAGUCACCAUUGCUUGUCCAGAAGAAUCUGCAUGUGCUACAAUUUUCUUGAAUGUAUUUUUUAUAUGCAUGGCUACACGGUGCAUUGUGUGAUGGCAUUGGGUUUCCAUAUUUCUUAGUUUUCAAUUUAUCUUACUGCGAGUGCAAGAUGUCGGCCAGGCUACAUGAAUUUCUUUCUUGAGAGUUAAGAGAGAGAGGUGAAGACGGAAUGAGAAUGCUUGUGUUUUCAUGUAAGAAUGCUAUUAAAUUAAAAAGGAGAAAACAUGAGGAGAAAGUGAGACUGUUGUGCAUGCAUGUCAGGAGACUUUAAUGCAUGAGAGAGAGACGGGGAAGAGAGAUGUGCAGCGAGUUCUUUGUCCUUUGUUCGCAUGCGGACAUGAUAAAGAAAGAGCCUACUGCUACUACAGCUAAUCACCUUGGAUUGCUUUCAAAAAAGUCUGUCACAAGCACCAAUCUCAAAGGCAUUGAACGGGUUGGAUAGAGGGUACCGUGUAGCUUGAGCUAUGCUAGAACUUUGCGAUCCUAAAUUGUCCUGAGUCACUCUGUGGAAGUUUUAAGAGCCUGCUAUUUCAGGCACACUAAUUUGCUGAUUGCUUUUAGUUCCCCUCGUCAUGGUUCCUGACAUGGCGCGUAUUUUACAUGAAAGGAAGUUGCUCAAACAGGGAAUCAUCUGAAGAAUCCUCAAUGAAGAAAAGGUCGAUAUCUAGCAAGAUGAUUUGUUAUGUUGGAAUAGUUGUAGGCACCCUUUGGGAAGGCAAAAGGAAACUAACAUUUGUUUUUUUAGAUAAAAGGUGAUAGCCCGACUUUAUAAAUAAAGCCACCAGGCAGAGUCACAGCCAACCACGAAACCACAGAAGUUUAACAAAGCCGAAAAAGAAGUGCAGAUACAAGGCAUCCAGCCUAAAUGGCACGCAGGCCUCCAAACCAACAGCCAAAACACUAAGGAAGAUCCCGCCUAGAAUGCCGCAACAGGGUGGACGCCGUAGAUUUCAUUCUGGAUAGCAUAUCAUCGAAAGCCUCUAGAUCCCCAUCCUUAAUCAAUGAUCUCCACUGCUGCAAAAAGAUAGUGGCUUUAAAUAAGCAGUUGACUGGGUUAGUUGGAAAAAUGUGUUCAAUAGUGAACUUGUUCCUAGUAGUCCAGAGCGCCCAACAAAUCGCAGCCCAGCCCACCAUGAAAACCCUCUUAGAACGGCCUACUAGGGAAUCGAUGCACUGCCUCAAAUCACCAAAGGAGGAAGGGUUCCAAUUAACCCCAAGCCAAAGUCUAAUGCAACUCCAAAUGAAUUUAGCCAAAGAGCACUGGAAAAAGAUAUGCUCAGUAUUUUCAAGGGCACCGCAAAGCUGACAUGAGUCCGAGCCCGGACCAUUCCUCUUUUUAAUCUGAUCAGCCGCAGGAAGUUUACGACGGUGAGCUUGCCAAAGGAAGAUCUUGAUCUUGGAAGGGAUGCGGGCAGACCAAAUGUACUUAAACUUAUCCGUGCGGGUACCAACGAUAAGUUUCAAAUACGCCGACUUUACCGAAAAACGCCCCGAAGAGGAGUGAGGCCAAACCACGUAGUCCUCUUCCUCCGAGAGCAGGGGGAAGCAGGCAAUAAGUCGAUGCCAAUCUUCCAACUCUACUGGAGAAAGAGAGCGCCGGAAAUGUAGAACCCAACCCUGAGCCGAGAGCUCAAAGAUAGAGAUCUCGGGAUCAACAUAGAACGAGAACAGAGUCAGGUGGGCCACCGCCAACGCGGUGUCCCCAACCCACCAGUCUAACCAAAAACGCGUGGACUUACCGUUACGGACAACGAACUUCACAAGGGACUGGAACGCCGGCCUAAUGCUAACCAGCUGGCGCCAGAAUUGAGAGCCACCACAGGCGGUAGCGAACAUAGGGCUGGAAGAAGGGAAAUAUUUCGCUUUUAGGAGAUUAAGCCAAGCGGGACGUUCGUCGAGGAACAUAAUCUUCCACCACCAUUUUAGCAGCAGGCAUUUAUUCAUGAUUUUGGUGUUAAUGAUGCCAAGACCCCCCAUGCUCUUAGGUCUACAAAUGAGAUCCUAUAUUUGCGUUUAUUAUCUGAGGAAUUCCAGAAGAAAGCACCCCUGUGCUUAUCGAAGCCCGAGUGCGUCCCUUCGGACAGCAGGUAGAAACCCAUAAGGAACAUCGGGAGCGAGGAGAGGCAGGAGUUGGUGAGGGAAACCUUGCCCGCUCUGGGUAUUGUACCAGCCUCGCCACGACAGAACUCUAUUGCCAACUUUAGUCACAACCGGGGCAAAAUCUUUAGCCAACAACUUAAGAGGGGAGAUGGGCAGGCCCAAAUAUUUCAGAGGGAAAGACCCGAGAGAACAGUUCAGAAGGUGUGCCACCCGCUGCGCCUCCACAUCAGAUACCCCAGUCACAAUAGCCUCGCUCUUAGAGAAGUUGAUUUUAAGGCCCGACAAAGCUUCAAAGCAUAGAAGAAUAAAUUUCAGAUUUGAGAUGGAAUGAUCAUUAAGCUCCACCAAAAUGAUGGUGUCGUCCGCAUAUUGUAAGUGAGAAAUGCCAUUAGGAAUGAGAUGAGAACUAACAGGCGAAAUAUGUCCAGCAGCCGCUGCACGAGCCAGAAUGCGGGAGAGAGCAUCAGCCACAAAGUUGAAAAGCAGGGGAGACGCCGGAUCCCCUUGUCUCAAACCCCUACCAUUCGUAAAGAAAUUACUGGUCUGCCCGUUAACAACCACCGCCGUAUGACCCCCAGAGACAAGUUGCAUCAGACGGUGGACCACCGAGCCAUCGAAACCCUUGGCCAACAACACUUGGCGAAGGAAGCUCCAACUCAUCGAAUCAUAAGCCUUUUCAAAAUCGAGCUUGAGAACCAGAGCCUUGGUGUUCUUGCUGCGAAGGUCAUGGAUAAUUUCGUGGAGGCACAACACCCCGUCCAGUAUGUAUCUUCCCUUAAUGAACGCGGAUUGGAAAGGGCUAAUGAACUGAUGAGCGAUUGGGGAAAGUUUAACAGCCAUACCCUUGGCUGGGAUCUUAGCAAAGUUGUUAAUGAGAGCAAUAGGCCUGAAUAGGGAAAUUAAGUCAGCGCCUUUGACUUUAGGGAUGAGGGUAAGGACUGCGUAGUUCAGUCUCGAGAUGUCUACAGUCCCCAACCAAAAGCCUUGAGUAAUAGCCAUGAUUAGGCCUUUUAAUUGAGGCCAGAAUCACCGGAAGAAAGGGAUGGAGAAGCCAUCAAGGCCAGAUGCUGCAUUAUAAUUGGCAGAACGAAUCGUCUCAAAAAUUCCGUCCUCCGAAGGGGGAAUUAGAAGGCUUCCAUUAUCAGCGCUCGAAAGUUGAUCACGCGGGGACCAAAAGGACGCAGCCAACUUAAAGCCUAGCUCAGGUUUAGUCGCUAGAAGGGUAGAGAAGAAGGAGACCACAUGCCGCAAAAUCACCGGUGGAUCAGAAGUCCUGACCCCAUCAAUAACAAGGCUAUCAAUAAAGCACCUACGCCGUCUACCAUUGGCAAUAGCAAAGAAAUACACCGUGGGCAAGUCCCCCUUGAGGGUCCAGUUGAUAGUACCGCGUUGUUUCCAGUAAAUUUCCUCCUGCCUAUGAAUGGCCAACAACGCCUUUUCUAGACCAUAUCUGGAAUGCCAUUCAUCCGGGGACAACCCAACUAAAUCCGCACGUUCGUCUAGAACCCCAAUCUGAGCCACCAGCCUUGCUUUGUUGCACCUUGACUUAGCAUAGUGAUUUUUGGACCAGCCUUUAAGGAAUCUACGCAGAAAAUAAGAGCAUUGAUGCCAGUCAUCCAUCGGGCCAAAAGACCGACGGUUCGAAGAAAGGAAGGACAAAAAUUUUUGAGCCACCAAACCAUUGAAGCCCUCGACUUGAAGCCAGGAAGCAUCAAAAUGAAACCUCGAUAAACCCAUAGGGCGUAAACCAUCAUCUAGAAUCAGAGGUGUGUGAUCAGAGCAACACAGGCAAGGGCCUUAAGACUAGCAUUAGGAAAGAGAGGGUCCCAUCUCAGGCAAACAAAAACUCUGUCAAGAACUGAGCGAAUGGGGGGGGGGGUGUUGAUGAUUAGACCACGUGUACCGGGCUCCGACCCUAGGUAUCUCACGAAUAGCCAUAUCCCUAAUGAAGGCAUUGAAUGCAUCAGCCAAGGGCCACGAGAAGUUAGGAGAGCUCUUGUCGGAGGGACAUCGAAGCAGAUUAAAAUCACCCCCAAUCAACAGAGGGAGCUGGCAAGAUUCAAUCUUAAUACUAAGCUCAUCCAAAAAAGCAUACGACAUAGCAUGGUCACCCGGACCAUAAACCACUAAAAUUUCCACCAAGGAGUUGAGAGAUCGAAUGGAGACCACCGUGCUAGCCCAAAAAAUGCCAUGGUCGAAAGCCACGAAAUCAAAAGUAUCUUUUUUGGUACCAAGUAAAAGCCCGCCCGAGUGACCAGCCGAGGCCACAUAAUUCCAAUGGAAUCUGUCUAUCCCAGCAAUAGCCGAUAAUUCACUAGCAGAAAAGGAAGAUUUGAAAGUCUCGACAAGGCCAAUAAAAUCUACAUUCUCAGAUCGAACUAGGUCCUUAAGUUGGUCUCUGCACCCCCUAGCACAGAAGUCUCGACAAGUUUUUGAUACGGAGACUCGACCUGCUCGGGGCUACGCAGGAUUUUGAUCGUUUCCCUACCCCGCGUUUAGAGACCUUCGGGGGAGCAUGACUCCUAUCAUCUCCCCCCUCGUCCCCACCAGCCACCACCAGUGGGGCGCCCGAUCCCUCCCUGGCCUCCUUUGCUUUCGCAAUAUCAGCCUGAGCGAUAUCGUUCGCCCUAAUGAUACCAAGAAUAGAAGAAGGAGAACCCAAACUAGAAUCUAAACAAAUACCCACAUCAUUUAAAAUAUUAAGCAAGUGAUCAUCCGAUUGAGAAGGGAGAACUAAACAAACAGGAGAGGGAAUCGGGGGGGGGGGAGGGGAAGGGAGGAAAGGACGAACCUGCAGAGGGCAGAUCCCGAGCCGCCGCACGCCGAGCAGCCCGAUCGACCACCCGCUCACCACUGUUGGAGACACGGCCCCUCUUGCGAGCCGUGGACGCAGGCGACCGCAUAGGAACGAGCCGCGUGCGACUGGGAGAAGCCACAGAAGACGGACCCGAGGCCAUACCUAAAUCAGCCUCCAGCCGUCGGCAAAACCCAGCCGCAGACUGCCUAGAGUCACCAGAGGCACGACUCUUGGCGGAGAACUUCUUGACCGAGGAUUUCUUCUUCUUUUUGAGCGCCGCAGGACCCGCCGGGGGAAGAUCUUCAAUGCCUGACAGGGAGGGAGAGGCAGGCGAGUAGGGAGGUUGGAGCACAUCGCCGAGAAUGCCGUGCCCUUGGUCCCACCAGCAGCCGCCUCCUCCCCACCCAGAUCCGGCGCCGAGCCCUGGACCCCCUUGCCAGCAGGCGCGCUCUCCUUGAGCAUGACCUGAUCUUCAGGAGAGAGGCCAUCCCACUCCGACUGGGUGAACAGUGGAUGAGACCCGCGCAUGGAGUCAUCGGGGCAGCCAUCCCCCUCCUUGCUCUUGUCGCCAUUGUCAGAGGCCGGAGGCGGGGGAGGAGGAGGAGGCGACACCGGGCCUGAGGCCCCCUCCACCCUCACACGGAGCCGGAAGCCACCAGCCGCAGGGAAGACAUCGAGGGAGCCAUGAAUGCACAGGGGGUCGACGCACCAGACCCGGAGCCGGGACGGCCCCAGGAUCGCCAAAGAAUCUUGGUCAACAUCAAUGGGUUUGCCAAUAAGAACUCCGAAGGCCAUCAGGAAAGCCGUGGUACGCAUGCUCGGAGGGACAUCUUCUACCAGCACCCACACAUCAGACAAGGAAGAGAUAGACUUGGAUCCAUUAGAGGCCGCUUUUACCGAGACCACGAGUUGAUUCAGAGGCAAAGUGAAGCUAGAGCAAGAAGAUAUCAUCUGGAGGCUCUCUUUAGAGGGGAAAGUCGCUGCAAACUCGAAUUCAGAGAGUUGGCGGAUUUGCCAAUCCCAUCCACCCUCGUCCCAUAACUUAAGCUCAUCGAGAAGGAUCUGAGGAGAGAUGCGUUUAUCCUGGACGGAGAUAAUGCCAACAUUGGACAGGGAAGGGAUGGGGGCAGCCUCAGGGAUCUCCCUAUCAAGAGCGAAGAACGAGCAUCCAGGAAGACCGGUGCCAUAAUGAACAAACGAAGGAGGCUUGACGCGAUUCUAACAGUCCACCGUAAGGUCGCCGUCUUCCCGGCAGAUGAGGCAGAAGGGAGGGUUUUCACACCGUGAUUGGAAGUGGCCAGGUCGAUGACAUGCAAAGCAAGUGAGGAUGGGGUUGGAGACUUGGGAUUGGGGAGGGAUGCGACCAUGAGGAGGAGGAGGGAGGAUGCCAUCCCCAGCCGCAGCAGGCCCAGAGCCGGAGCCCCGCCCCAUCAUGGUGCCGACGAGACGCCGAGACGGAGCCCCCGCUGCGCCUCUGGGGAAGAAGCGGGAUGACCCGCCCCCAGCCUGAGCCCGCACCGGAGCGCCACCCCGGGAAGCAGCACCCAGCGGAGGGGGCGCCAGAGCGGGCCCCGACGAACCCUCUCGACUGGUCGCCGCCGCCACCUCCCAGGGAUCGGCCGCCGCCGAAGGAGCAGCAGAGGCAGGGAGAGGGGGCGCCGACGGACCCGACCCGGAAGCAUGAGGAGACACACCAACGGACACCGCCGCCGACCCCGCUUCCGGAGCGAUCGAGGCCUAAAGCUUCGCGCGGAGAGCCGCCUCAUACUCCAGAUCCGCAUCCACAUGGCCAGAUCCCCCAUGGCCCCACUUCUGCCCAGAGAUCGCCUCACUUGAGGACGCACGAGAGCGACACCACCACAACAAAGGGGAGGGAAAGGGGAGGAGGGGGAGUAGAUCUGCCGAAGCGCCGGAUUGGGAAACGGUGGCGGAGCAGAUCUGAAGAGGAGGCAGGAAAACCUAGGAAUGGGGGAGCCGCACCUCUCCGCACCCAUAAGUACCCCGACCGAGCCAGGCCCGAACCGGUACACGGCCUAACAUAAGAGGUGGGCUGGACCUGGGCCGCCCGCAGCCCAGGGUCCACAGAAGGAAGAGGGGGGAAUUCAGAAAGAGACGCCAGGGCCAAGGCCAAAACCGGCCCACCAGGCCCAGUAGCACCCACCGGGGCCCGCACCACAGGAAGGGGCAACAGCGCCGCCCCCGCAACCAGAUCUAGGGUUGGGACCGGCAACGGCGCCGCCAUCGCAGCGGAGGACGAACUCGCAGGCGUGCCAGCUCGCGAACCCACCGGGGAGGGCGAGGCCGACACCGGCGAAGACCGCAGCGAAUCCAAACACGGGGACCAGCACGAAGCAUGACGCCGCCCGCGCGAGACGUGGUGCCACCCGUUCGGCUCCACUGAAGGCCGGACUGGCCGCCCCAGCCCACCGGGCGCAAACUUGCGCCGGCGAGCGGCCGCCGCAGCCACGGGGGGAGAGCACGUCGGGGACGAGCGCGGUGGGGGAGAGGAAGCCUCAGAAUCCGAGUCGGAGCCGUCCGAAUCUAGAGCCCAGAACUUGUUAGUCCAAAGAGGGGCGAUGAGAAUAGAGCGAGGAGUCGAGGCCAGAGAGCAAGAGGGUGAUGCGCGGGGAGCCGGAGCGAAGCCCGGAGGAGAGCGCGGAGGCGAUGGGGAGGAGGAGGAUGCACGAGGCCGGGGCGCCGCCGGAGCUUCGCCAGUCACCGGAGACACCGCGAGGGGGAGGGGGGGAGGGGAGGGAGGAGCCAUCCUAUGUCUUCAAUUCUCCCGCAUCACCCUGUGCCCGCUCUUCUCCACGCAUGGGAGCCACUUGAUCCACGCGAGCACCUCUCGGAGGAUGAAUUUGAUGGCGUAUUGAGUUUAAGACACCCCUCACCAAACUAACAUUUGUUAAGUGUCUGAUCUUCUAUUCACGGGCAAUAAACGGUGGAACGAGAACCUUAUGUACAAGUAUUUGAUAUCCUUUGUACCCAAUAUGUAUCUUAGCAAAUUUUUGGCUAUGACCACAACUUUGAUUUUCAUUUGGUUGGUUGCAACUGUUUGGCAUGCCGAUGGCUCCUUCCCAACUUUACUUCAUUUUAGUCAAAGUUGGCAAACUCACAGGCACACAAAACCUUGACCAAUAUUUUGGCUAGCCAAACAUUUGAUGGGGAAACUCUACACUCAAACAAAACAAAUUCUAUGUUACUAAUUACUAUUCAGUUACCACGCCAUCGCUCAAUCAAAUCAAUGAGAUUCAUCCACAUCAUUUUUGCCGUGGUGACUUGUCCCGCUGCUAUAUGCUCUUUUACUAUUGCCGCCAUUCUGCAAGUGACAUAUCAAAUCAGGGCAUGCAAUUAGAGAUGGAGGCAAAUAACAUGUUGCGGAUUUUUACCCGUUGAGAGGGCAAUAGCUUUGUCGCUCAGCCUCGACACAUCUUGCAAUAGUUGCUGAUAUAAGAGCUGAAAGGAUCCAAAGCAUUGGUUGGAAAUAUCGAGCUUUUUGCGUGGAAAAUGGAAUUGCUUUGAUCAUCGAGGAGAGACUCAAACAGAUUAAAUGAUUUACUUUCUGCAAAAUCACCUGGUGAGAUCCAGCCUAUCCCUAAGCACGACACGACCUAGUCUUAGCUCGAGGGUGCCGACAUGGAUUGCCUUUACCACGGAGAUACCGAUCUUGGCUCGAAGCCUGGCACCCAAAGGCUGGUCGAGAAUGAUUAACGGACUGCUCCAGGAUCAUGCAUGGUGGAGUUUCUCUUAGUGUGCUUGUAUGAGGUACUCUGUUUNNNNNNNNNNNNNNNNNNNNNNNNNNNNNNNNNNNNNNNNNNNNNNNNNNNNNNNNNNNNNNNNNNNNNNNNNNNNNNNNNNNNNNNNNNNNNNNNNNNNNNNNNNNNNNNNNNNNNNNNNNNNNNNNNNNNNNNNNNNNNNNNNNNNNNNNNNNNNNNNNNNNNNNNNNNNNNNNNNNNNNNNNNNNNNNNNNNNNNNNNNNNNNNNNNNNNNNNNNNNNNNNNNNNNNNNNNNNNNNNNNNNNNNNNNNNNNNNNNNNNNNNNNNNNNNNNNNNNNNNNNNNNNNNNNNNNNNNNNNNNNNNNNNNNNNNNNNNNNNNNNNNNNNNNNNNNNNNNNNNNNNNNNNNNNNNNNNNNNNNNNNNNNNNNNNNNNNNNNNNNNNNNNNNNNNNNNNNNNNNNNNNNNNNNNNNNNNNNNNNNNNNNNNNNNNNNNNNNNNNNNNNNNNNNNNNNNNNNNNNNNNNNNNNNNNNNNNNNNNNNNNNNNNNNNNNNNNNNNNNNNNNNNNNNNNNNNNNNNNNNNNNNNNNNNNNNNNNNNNNNNNNNNNNNNNNNNNNNNNNNNNNNNNNNNNNNNNNNNNNNNNNNNNNNNNNNNNNNNNNNNNNNNNNNNNNNNNNNNNNNNNNNNNNNNNNNNNNNNNNNNNNNNNNNNNNNNNNNNNNNNNNNNNNNNNNNNNNNNNNNNNNNNNNNNNNNNNNNNNNNNNNNNNNNNNNNNNNNNNNNNNNNNNNNNNNNNNNNNNNNNNNNNNNNNNNNNNNNNNNNNNNNNNNNNNNNNNNNNNNNNNNNNNNNNNNNNNNNNNNNNNNNNNNNNNNNNNNNNNNNNNNNNNNNNNNNNNNNNNNNNNNNNNNNNNNNNNNNNNNNNNNNNNNNNNNNNNNNNNNNNNCCAUAGUGAUUCUCAAGAAUCCGUAGAACAAGUAAAUUCAGUUAUCUACAUUGAUUCAGAUGUGUCAAGCCUAUGUUCUCCUCCUAUGCUUCAUUCUUCAAGGUGUUGCUGUUGCUGCUGAUAGAGGCGAGAUAUAUAUGGGGCUACGUUGAAAUUUGUCACAGUAAGUAUCCGCUCAUAAUAGCAGUCUUUAUAUCAUGUUUGGUCUUCUCAUCCUUCUGUUUUUCCAUUUACUACUACAGCCUCAACAAAGCCUCACCUUCCAUGCAGUACAAUUUAUUACUUCUCCCUAUAGUUGAUCCAAUGCCAAAAGACAAACACAAGAAGGCUAGAGCCAAAAUACUCAAACUUCUAGCACCCAGCAACAUCUGGUCACCGCGCAGCGCUGGAUCCGCCUCCACCGGACUAAUAUAUCCUCUGUUUCUGAUCUUUUUAAUCGGCUAGAUUAGUGAUAGCGGCAGUUCUAGUGGAGUGAUAGGGCUAGGCGCCGACAAGCAAUUGUUGUUUAGGCCAGGUCUUCUUGGAGGAGACAUAUAAAGCCUCGAGCGUAGACUCCCUGUACCCCACUCUACAAAUCCCAGAGACAUCUUGGUGAGAGCAUCAUAGCUCGAGACACCAUCAGUGACUAGGCCAUCGACCACCCCACUGUCAGUAGGAAGGGAGAGGUGAGAACCAUUGUGAUCUGCUGUGAGACCUAUUUCAGAGUUUCCAACGGGUUCUCCCUGAACAAUAUCAUCCACUUCUUGAGUGCCAAGUAAAUCUGCCACCAUAUAUGUUUAACAUCAGACCACAUUAUAGAGUUUCUGUAGUUCCACAUGCGAUGGAGUAUUAAAAUAUAGGGUAUGUUCUGCUCGACCGUAGUGGUUUGGUUAAAAGAAAGUCACGAUGUCAUGGUAAAAAUAUGAACCCAAAGAUGUAAAAAAUUAUAGGAGAUCCCCGAGGAGGGCCCUAACGUCAUCCAUGACGCACACGGGGGCUGCCUCCUUGAGCUGGUAGGACACACGUCGGCCAGCGAAGCUGGCCUUGCUGCACACUCCACCGGCCAAGUCUUGAAUACCUGACAAGGCUACUAGCUUAGCCCAGUACAGGGCUACACUUAGGGCCAUCAUCAUGACGGCCUGUGAGGCACGAGGCAAGACGGGACGACGACCAUAAAUAAAGGCAUCAGGGUGGUGCGGCGCGUCACGUCCGGCGCAGUGUCAGGUUAUCUCCUGACUGAUCGACAGAGGCAAGUGGACGAAGCGCGACGAAUAUCCUCCUUUGUACAACGUACUAUAUUUAUUAACAUGACCAAGUGUGGUACCCCCGGAUCUAUAUAAGGGGAGGGCCGUGGUUGAAUAGAGGAGAACUUUUGCAUACUCUAGCAACCCCACUCCCUCAUAGGAGUGCUGAUAGAGGAGAGAAGGUACAGAGAGAAGAUACAAAGGUGUUUAGGCACUCUAGCUAGUGCCCCGACCACCUCCUAUGACACCCUGACCACCUCUUUUGUACACCCAAACACUUGUAUCCUUGAGCUUAUGUGAAAUUAGAUAAUGCCCCGCGCGUUCCUGAGGAUUUUUUCAUAAAUAUUUUGAGGAAGGCCAGGAUCCAAACUUAUGUGCCAAAUCUCUACAUGUGACUUGCACAUUCUACAAUACCGACGAUCUACAUUAACAUAAGGUCAAGAGGCCAACAUAUGCAUCACAAUAGAGGUUUGCAGAAAAAGUACUGAUGAUAUAUAUGUACUUUUGUAUGACUCAAAACACCUAGAAGUAUGAGAAUGUUUCUCAUUUACAAUAGGGUGAUGAUUAUUAAGGGGGAUGUGGAUAUGGUCCGGGCAAGAAUUUUUUGUUGGAGAUUAGAAUUUUAUCAAUUCAACAUGUACGAUAUGAUUUCUCACAUACAUUUGCACGGACCAUAGAUGUUUUUUUAAACAAAAGGUAAUCCGACCUCUGCAUCAUCAUGAUAGAUGAAUAGUAGGUGCGCACCCAUCGUUAAAGUGAAGUGUGCAAAAUUACCCAAUUGUAUCAUCGUACAUGAACUGUCGUAUUCUUUAGGAUUGGUGAAGAAUCACCCUCUUCGGAGCAUCGCAUAACCGGUUGAAAGAAGAAUGAGCAUAGUCUGCAAGAUGUAAAACACAGGUAGCAAAAUUUGUGUGUAGUUUCUGUAUCAUAUACUCCUUGAGUAUAAGAUCUGAAAGGAGCAAAGUGCUACUUGCAUGGUUAAUAAAGGGACUACCUUGCACAACAUGGGAGGCCAGCUCGGUCAGGCAGUGGGCGACGUACAUGACCCUGACAUCGCGUACAUGCGGUGAGACCAGGGAAGUCGUGGCAGCGGCGAGACGGCGGCCAACAACGUGCGGAGCAAGCAGGGCCGGCCCUGAGGGGGGGCAGGGGGGGCGGCCGCCCCGGGCCCCCAACAUCGAGGGGCCCCCUCUCAAGUAUGCAAGUAGCCCAGGGAUUCUCCCCAAAAAAAGAAGCGACUAGGACUGGGUCGUAGCAUGGCUUCAGGCCUUUUGCAUGUUCAGCUUCAUAUGGCCCAAGUGGAUUGCUGGGCUAGGUAGUCAUGCAUGUACGCAUUAUUUCUCGGAAACAAAAACGCAUGCACUAUGGCUGAUCGAUUAGAUCAGAUCAGAUCAGAUCAGCUCGAAGAGGGGCAAUGUAUCACGCACGGCGUUGGCGAUCGAGGGAACGAAUUCCGCUUCAGGCCGAACGCCCUUGCCAUCACCUGAUCGCCGUCUAGUCUCGCCUCUCGCGACCUUCAUGCGCAGCAGUAGCCAAGAGACGAGAGCGGACAAGGCCUGCUUAGACUGGAUCAGAAUCUAUCAGUUGAUUUUUAAAUCCGUGUUCUACAGCUCUAAGGUAGCCUAUCUGGUAGUCCCUAGUUCCUAAAUUUGUUGUUUGUUAAUUGAAGUCGAUGCCCAGAAUUGUUUUUCACAAUCCAAUCAUUGGAUAGGAUUAGUGUGUUGAAAACUGCACUAUCUGUGCUUCAUUUAAAGAUGACACAAAAAUUAAUUUUGUAAUUGUUGUGGAUUGCAUUCCAAUCGAACCCAAUUUGCUCAGUUUGGAUUAAUGGUUGCUGAGGUAUCACCAGAAUGGUGCUGCUGUACAAGUAUUUUCAAAGUUGAGCAGAUAUUGUUUUUGCGACUUUUAACAAAUUUCUAUUCGCAAGAACUAGUCUAUAUUCAGAUAUGACCAGUUUCUUAUUACAACAUGCAUGAAAGACGUAGAUAACUUCAUGUUGAAUAUCCUGAUUUGCUUAUUUUCUUCAUUUUGUAAAAUGGAUCAUGAUUUGUAGCCUAGAAAUUCAUAUAUGACGUGCUUUGGAGUUCAAAUUAAAUGGAGAAUCCAAGCUAUGCUUGUAUAUUUACCUAAUAAUAAUUAAUGGGCUAGCUCUAGGAGAUAUUUAUACAUAUACUAUUAGGUAUUAGGAUGUUCAAGAGCCAAGAACAAUACAUAAAAAUUUUAUGUUUAUAUUAAAGGGGCCUCGGGUUUUACUUUCGCCCCGGGCCCCCGAAUUGUCAGGACCGGCCCUGGGAGCAAGCAGCAAGGGAUCAUCGGCUCCGGUGGCGAUGAUAGGCGGCACUGGUGAGACAGCGAACGACAACGCAUGAAGCAAGCAGUAAUGGAUGGCCGUCUCUCGUGGCGAUGAUCCGCAUCAGCGGCUGUGGGACGGCUAAUGACGACAUGCAGAGCAAGCAGCAAGGGAUCGCCGCUCGCCGGCUCCAUCAUGAUGAUCUUCGGCGGCGGUGAGACAGCCGAUGACGACGCACGAAGCAAGCAGCAAGGGACCGCCGUCUCUCACAGCGAUGAUCUGCAAUGGCGGUGAGACGGCUGAUGACGACGCACGGAGCAAGAAGCAAGGGAUCGUUGUCUCCCCCAACGAUCAUCUUGCCUUGGCGCUGGGAGCGGUUAGCGCGGUCGCAGGGCGACCUUCAACAGCAUGACGAAAAACGUGGAGAGCUCGGUGGCGGCAUGGGUGAUCGCCACUGUUCCUGGUGCUGCUCGGUGUUGUGUUCUUCCUCCGGGACUUGAUGCAUUUAUUUCCGGUACGUGUGCAUGGCUAUCCAAUUUAAAAGACAACAACCACGGAAAUGCAUAACUCUUGGACUUCGGACCUACCUUUCGUGCUCCGCCUCCUAUUAAAGUGCCUCAGUCAGUGGGUUACCCUCCUUUCUUAUUUUAGUGGCUGUUAAUGUCAGAUAUCAUAAAGAAUAUUACCACAUUAGGAUUGAGUUGUUUUGUUCUUCUAUUUUCCAGUAAGCCCUAUGAUAUAUAACCUAUCGGACAGCCCUAGAUCUGAUGCUAUGUAGAUCAAGGUUAUUUCUAAUUACCCACGAGACUCCGACAGAGUAUAUCAUGUGGAAUUUCUUGUUCUUAUAGUUAGGAUGAACCGUUGCAACAUCGUCUCGCAAUAAAUAAUUGUGCAAAAAAAUUAUGAUCAUUCACAAUAAUAUUGGAUCUCGAAACCAUGACUUAUUACAUAAUCAGUUUAUUCACUCUACAUAAAGCAGCGGACUCAUAGAGACACAUGCAUAUUGGAUAGUACAUUAUAUGGAAGGCGUGCAUGCAUCCCUAACCGAUCACACCCUUAGUUGCACCUGGGGCUCUGCACGAUUGCUAACCGGAAAUGACUGGUCGAACGUGGCUGCAUGCUCACUACCAGUAAACCUAAGCUUGUCACCAACACGUUGAACCGUAUGGAAUGCAAGAAAAUCCCACUCAAACUGGAUCCUGACGCCGCCCCAAUUGAGUAAUGGAUCCGGGCUGGAUAACCCCACUGACUAUGCUGUCAAACCGAAUCUUGUGUGAUCCACCGGCAACUGUAACGUUGAAGUCGCACGAGGCGGGGAGGGUCACCUCAACGGCACCCCCAUCAUGGUUCACGUACGACUUCACGCCCAGAGGCAAGAGAGCCCGCAGGAAGUUGUUUUUCGCCAACAGGUCGUAUGCUGUGUCGGAGGUGGCCGCUUGGAGGAUGGAAGCCAUGAAUACGAUGAGGAGCAGAUGCUGGAUGGCCAUGGCUAGCUAACUGUUGCUGCUUACAAAUUGUAUCAAGGAAUAUGAGGAACUGAGAAGUGUAGACUAAGGCCUUGGCCACGUAUUAUAUAUGCUGCCCAACGAAAUCAAAGUCAAUCGUGCUUUAAUUGCAUUUAUUUUGUUCCUGAUUGUCACUCCAUCAACCGCCUCAUCAAAUAUGCUAAAAAUAUCAUCCCAUUAAAUCAUAUUUAUUUUGGCCUAGAACAUUCUAUAGUUAAUGGUUAUGCCAAAACGUUCCUCAAAUCUUCAUAAUCAAUACGUACCAUAAAAUGAGACUGAAAUUUCAGAGCAACAUUCAUUUACGUACUUCACAGCCGACAUAUGAAACAUAUGCAAAAACCUAAAAAUGAAUCAAGGGGAAACAUCAACAUCCCAACAGUUUGAUCCUUGAUGUUGGCUUGGGUACCAAUGAGGCUUCUCUUCUCUUCAAAUAAUGUUGUGCAGUGCAACUAAAACAUAAAACACCCGCAAGAAAGAAAUAUUUCAUUUAGAUAUACUUGAGUUUUACAUGAGUAUGCGGUGCAAUAGAAUGAUUAUCUCCCAUUGUGCAGAUCAUCUCUUUCAGGAUGCCUACUCAGGCCAGCACAGACUCAUACAUAACAUCUCCGUCAAAGUUUCCACACUGUUAUAGCAUGAACUCCCAGACCGUGAGAGAGGCUCAGUACCCAUAUCCAAAAUGAAGAGUGCGGAGGAGCAGGUGCCUACCCCUCCACCUUCCACUUCUCUUAAAAUUUUCCUGUGCAAUGCAACUAAACUAAAAAACAACUCCAAGCAAUAUAUUCAAUUUAGAUCUUGUUGGGUUAUGAUAGGUCUCCAACGUAUUUAUAUUUUUUUAUUGUUCCAUGCUAUUAUAAUUGUUGGGUCAUGAGCCAAAAGCAAGCCAUCGAACAUGCCAGUGUUGGAUUGGAUGAGAUUGUCGACCGCCUGAAGGAGGUUCUCAUCGUGAUCCUUGAAGAGCCGGUCCAGACCUACGGUGAAAUACGCUCGUUGAAGCGCGUACACGCCGCACCUUUCCUCGGACGGCUUGUCCAUCGCCUCCGCUCACGGCCGAUCACGCCACCGCGUCCCGUGAUGGUGUCGCGGCAACUCCAGGACCACUUAAUCUUAUACCAAUUGUGAGCAACUCACCUGAUCGAGAGGAAUUGCUAGGGAUUAGAAUUCGAAAUUGCGGAAAUUGGUUCGUUAGCUAGCCGUCCGUCCACCCUCACAGCUACACUACACCGCCUGUUGCCAUCAUCCAAAUCCCAGCCAGGAGAUAGGAGAGAAUUAUAAUUCCUACUAGCUUAGCCCGCGCGGCGACACGCCGCGCCCAUCGAUCAGUUACGACUAUGUAGACUAUGGUCCAAGCAAUAGAGUAAUAAGUAGUUAUGAUGAAAUUUGUUGCACGACUUGAGGCUUUUUAGCAAAUUGUUUUGUUCACAACAAUUUAUAGACACAAAUAUCUAUCUUUCAUGGAAACUUUUAGUUUAUUUUGUACAUAGCAAGGGUCUGUUCACCAAGUUGAAACAAAUACACAACAUGACCAAAAGUAAGGAACUUCGAAACAAUGCUUUUGUAGCUAAAAUUUAAUAAUUUUUCACAUUUCAUAACAUAAAUACUUAACUAAAACUUACAUCUGAUCCGAAGUACAACCAUUGAGACAGUAAAAAAACAACUAUUUUGAUCAUCACAAAAAAAUUAAUGUGCAUUUCAUGGAAAAAGUUUAGAGACAAAAUAAUUUAGCCAAGAGAAAAACUAUUUCAGAUCACAAAAGGCGCUCCAAAGAGUAAUUGUGUAUAUUAUUCAAAAUAACACUUUGUUACCUUCAGAGGCUUUAAUUAGCCCCAUUGCAUCUUGUGGAAUCAUGCAGUGAUACAAAUUCUUACCAUAAACAACAAAAUUAAGCAGCUCUUAAUAUAGAAACAACCAUAUCACUCUGAAUCAAGGGAGCAUGAUGCGAUGAACUGAUGAUGGGGAAUCUAUGGUAGCAUAUACCCAGGAAACAGUGUUCAUGGAAACUUUGUUAAACAACCCCUUGCUCAGCUUAAAAGUAUUCCUUCCUGGGUCUCCACUAAAACAAAGCAAUAUUUAUACACCCACAUGUGAGAACAAUAUGAGCCAUUGUUUGAUAUAAAACCAACAAUGCUUGAACAUACUUGUUUCUCUACCUCACCAUGUGGCGGCCAGAAAAAGCUUUAACAAAUUAAAAACCACUUGCAAAUUGAAGUUGAGAGUCUUCACUUAUUUCUCGAAAUGGAAGGAGGAAGGGGCCUUAAUUUGUCCCAGUAACCCCAUGAAUAUAAUUAGCCAAAUAUGCGGCAUUUCAUCUUAUUACACGGUCAUGCUGAAGGAGGGAACAUCAAUAAAAUUAGGCAUAAGAAAUCCAUCAAAUGAAGAGAGAUGUACUUAGAAAUAAGAAUAACAAACAUUCUCAGAUACUAUGUACCUUAUCCUGCCUCUAAGAAUAUGUCAAGAAGGUGAAUCAUUCACUUUUAUGUUACCGUUGCUGACAACGGACAACUGUGGAUGGAAACAAAAUUCUCGGCAAUGCAUAUAUGAAACUAAGUAACAUGACUUAGAAAAUAUAAUGUAAAAUAUCACAAUAAACUACUACUAAGUAUGUUCAAUAGUAAUACAACCUCAGUUUGUACCCCGGAAAUUUCUAUCACCAAAACAUCUUAGAAAGUUUAGUGCCAGUGAUGUGCCUGCCAUAAAACCGAAUGCCAAUUUUCAGUUAAAAAAUAACCGCGCAAGACCAUAUUCUUCUGCCGCCAAGGGUAUAUGAUCGAGUGGGGCCAACUAAAGACAGGCCCCACGAUUCCAUUUUUUAAUGUAUGUUGUUGUAUAAUGAAUGACGGGCUUGUAUGCUUACAUGACUAUUUGGUUUUUGAUGUGAUGAAAAUUGGAGGGAAAGAUGCUGGACGGACUAAUUUGAUCAAUCAGGUGAGUAGAAGUAUUAGAGUUUUGGCCAUCUCAUCCAUUAAAUUUGGAUGGAGGGUAUGCAUCUUAAUAUGAUAAACAUAUAUGCAUACCGUAUAUGGGUUAUAUACAUAUAAAAAUCAGUGCAGCAGGCCUUUUUUCUGAAUCUAAACAUCUUGGUGGCCGAGUUCCAGUGUGAAAAUAUUGGUUUUAGUCCCUGGUCAAAUGGACUGAUGCAUAUUAUGUUUGGUUGUACCACAAAAAAUAAUUUGGUUGCUUUAAGAUAUUCAACCGAGGUAGACGAUGCAAUUUUGGCUGACAUGAAGUUUUACGAUCAUCAAUACAGCAGAAUAUGCAAAAGAUGGGAUAAAGCAAGUCAUAUCUACUCCCUCAGUCCCAUAAUAUAACAACGUUUUUGACACGACGGAGGGAGUAGUUUGUUUAUUUGUUUGAGGAACACUUAUUUGCUUGGAGAAUAAUGAAGUGUGCUUGCACCGGUAGACAUGAGAUGAACUUGAACAAACGAUCUGCAUUCAUAUAUGCAUUGUACUAGAAAUCAGUGCUGCUCUGACUUGCCUCUGCAUUGCCUCUGAACCAGUGUUGAUCUAUAUCGGAGAUCAGGAAUUUACUCAUCAGGUCACUGCAUCUACUUUAUUGCGAUUAAACCACCAAACUCAAAGAAAUACCAGCAAUUUAUUUAAUAGUCUUAUUUGAUUUUUUAUUCAGAACGCAUUGAGCUAUUUCUUUUUCCAAGCUACAUUCUUGUACAUUGGAUUCUCAAGGAGCAUCACUUGCGAGACAUGUCUUCACAUACUACCAUUUCAGAACACCACUCCCUUCACGCACAGGACAUACAUGUUCUACAUCCACCCCUCACACUCCUAAUUUCAAACCGAGUUGGCAGGCUAUUGUAAGGAAGGUAAGCAACCUUCUAGAUGGAAUAUUGGAAUUUACUCUGGCAAGGUAGGUCUUAAACAUAUUAUCAUCUGGCUAUCUACUGUUUGAGCUCCCCAUGCUGCUAACACCAUCAAAUAUUGUUUGCUCCGUACAUCUUCAUAUGCCAAUUUGACCUUUUUUUGGCAGACACAGUAUCUCAGAACAUCUAAAUUGACUCCUUGCAUAGGUCUCUGAAUUGACACAAUCAGAAGGAUAAAACAAUCGCUAGAGCUCUUAUAGGAAGUCACCCAUCAUUUGACUUAGACUAAAGAAGGUGUCUAUCAGAAAAAAAGGAACAAAAAGUAAGUGCGAAGAAACACAUGUAGGGUUGCACAUAAUUUGUAAGAGAUGAUCAAGGCAUAUAGUUGCAGCAAGUAGCAAAUGGCAUGAAUUUAUUCAUGAUGCACUCACGCAUCAAGGGUGUAAAUCUUCUUUAGCUAGGUCCAAAUGCAGAUAGAUACAGUACAGGAAUGAUGUGUGAUAUGUCAUUGUAGGUUUCAGACCUAAUGAAAAGUUUAUUACAGUACAUGAAAAAUAUUCAUGAAACGGUUAUACAGUACAUGAAUGAUGAGAAAUCGGAAAUUUCUGUACAGGAGUGCUGUAUAAUAAAUUGCUGAGAGGAAUAAAGAAGAUGCAGAAUGUCUGAAACUUCUCAAAACCAGAAACAAUUAUACAAAAGCUACCUGACCGAGUAUACGGCUAGGAAUCUGCCUAAUUCAGUGUCUCUUAUAACCCGCCAACGACUACGGCGUAAUCACCAUCACUGCGGCUCAACCAGAAUUCGAUCGAAUAAUGAGGCAAAUGAAGUAGCUAAUAUGGGGUAAAUGCACACUAACUUGGCAGCAAGAACAGAUGGGUCGUAAGCGCCUUCAGUGACCCUACGACCUGCAAAUGGCAGUAUACAGACAGUACGCCUUUACUCCGAAUAACCGAGGAGGAGCUGUCCUUAUCCUCUUUUUUUGCGGGGGAGCUGUCUUUAUCCUCCACUCAAGCUAGCUAUACUUACAAAGUUAGAGCUAUAUAAAGUUUUGAAGCGUAGCGCUGUGAAUGGAUCACUCGUCCAGCAGCCUCCUGACACAUAAAAUAGGCAGAGCGAGCAUUACAAGGUCCCAUAACUCGGGGUCAGGCUUCUCGAACACGAUGACGCGCACCACCGUGCGCCACGCCGACGCCAGGUAGUAGAGCGCGGGCCUCUUACACUUGUUGUGCGCCAGGGGCUUCAUGUUGAAUGCGCGCGCCUUGUAGUCGGCGGGCCAGUACCAGUUCAUGAACGUCCGCGCCGGCAUCUGCAUCUCCCGCGCCAGCACGACGCCCUCGGCACCAUCACCACGAACCCCCAUGCCACUGACACCAUCCACCAGUUCGCCGCGAUGUAGCAUAUCGACUGGUGCAUCACCCCCGUCGAACAGCCUCCGCAGAGACGCCGGGCGCAAACGCACGUUGGGGAUAAGCGGUCGAGGUGGUGCAGCGAGUCAGCGACACCAGCGGUGCCACCUGGUGGGCGGCGAGGAGGCCCAGGAGGUCACCAUACACGCCUUACUCGUGGAAGCCCGAGUGUCGGCACUCCCAGCUCCGCCAUGCCCCAUGCACGAUGUAGUAGGGGACGGCGAGGAGGUUGUCCGGGAGGAAGACCGUGUUGUCGACUUGUCGUCACCCAUGACGAACCAGCGUACACCUGGGAGACUGACGCGGAAGGUCUCAGAGAUGACGGUCGACGUGUGAGAUGCAUGCGGAUGGCAGAGCGAUGACCGUGCGUGUAGGAGAAACCGGAGGUAUCCGGUAAGAUCUUGAUGUAUAUGCACUCCUUCCGCUUCUCCAACAGGCGCGCCAACGCCGUGAAGCCGAACACUGCAGCGUAAUCGUCGUUGUCGACACCGUGGCCGUGGCAGGUUGCGGUGGUGGUGGCGUACUCGUCGUCAACACCACCGUAUCUGUGGAGGGUGGUGGUGGCAUCCUCGCCGUCGACACCACCGUGACCGUGGCGGGCAUCAGCAGGGGCCUCGCUAGCGGCAACGUGACUAAUUAGGAGGAUAGCGUUGUGGGCGGCUUCUUCUGGGUGGAGGCAGCCGGGCGCUGCCACGCUGGGCAAGAUGCUAUGUGCGAAGAAGAGCCCUUUUAUAGGCCAGUACGGCGGUGAAUGGGUGGCUGGGUUAUGCACCGCACUGGAGCAGAGUUUUCGGGAGCGUCUAGAACACACGGCUGGACAACAGCGGCAGUAACAAAAAGGUACAUAUCGAUUGGGCCAGAAGCGGUCACGACAGAAAUACAGAGAAGCAUCGAUGUGUCUGGAAAGGGACAUAUCGAUUGGGCCAGAAGCGGCCGCGACAGAAAUACAGAGAAGCAUCGAUGUGUCAACCAAGCGAUCGCCACACCCGUUGAAGAAAUUUGACAAAAAACUAAACACACCACUCAUUUCUACCCUGCCGUGUACCAAAAAAAUACCACGCACCAUACCCACAACUCACCAUAGGUCACUUUCAUCCAAUUGGUUUAAUCUCAAAGCAAAAACCUUGCCUGCAAUAGAGGCUUGGGUAUUUAAACUAGUGAUCGCUAACAUAGUAGAAGGGCGUGCUCAUAGUCCAUCAACCAUCGCGGUGGGUUGAUCUCGAACCUAGGCUGCGGUUAGAGCAUAAAAAUUGUAUGCGAUAUUGAGUCCAUCACACAAAGUUAGAACAUACAAACUAUGUGCAAUAGGAAGGGUCCAUCACACACGGUUAUAAUUAAAAAUCGUGUGCUCGGAUGGGUUGGCGAUUGGGGUGCCAAUACACACGCUUUCAAAACGGUGUGCGAUGAAUGGGCUCGACUAGGUCUAACAUAAGUGCUACAUUAUACAAUUAUUCAUUUUUUACAAGCAAACAUAGCACCAGACAUAAUUCACAAUUGGACAACCCAUCGCACACUCUACGAUAUUUUGUUCUGCCAUUUCUCUACUAAUGGACAAAAGGCACUCGGCUUACAUCGGUAUGCCAACAUGAUGUACCUUGAGUGCGUUACGCUGAGUGUCAAACCCGCCGAGGCAAAAUCAGCCUUUGCUAGGGGGUCUGCACACCCAAUGGCGGAGCUAUGUUGGNNNNNNNNNNNNNNNNNNNNNNNNNNNNNNNNNNNNNNNNNNNNNNNNNNNNNNNNNNNNNNNNNNNNNNNNNNNNNNNNNNNNNNNNNNNNNNNNNNNNNNNNNNNNNNNNNNNNNNNNNNNNNNNNNNNNNNNNNNNNNNNNNNNNNNNNNNNNNNNNNNNNNNNNNNNNNNNNNNNNNNNNNNNNNNNNNNNNNNNNNNNNNNNNNNNNNNNNNNNNNNNNNNNNNNNNNNNNNNNNNNNNNNNNNNNNNNNNNNNNNNNNNNNNNNNNNNNNNNNNNNNNNNNNNNNNNNNNNNNNNNNNNNNNNNNNNNNNNNNNNNNNNNNNNNNNNNNNNNNNNNNNNNNNNNNNNNNNNNNNNNNNNNNNNNNNNNNNNNNNNNNNNNNNNNNNNNNNNNNNNNNNNNNNNNNNNNNNNNNNNNNNNNNNNNNNNNNNNNNNNNNNNNNNNNNNNNNNNNNNNNNNNNNNNNNNNNNNNNNNNNNNNNNNNNNNNNNNNNNNNNNNNNNNNNNNNNNNNNNNNNNNNNNNNNNNNNNNNNNNNNNNNNNNNNNNNNNNNNNNNNNNNNNNNNNNNNNNNNNNNNNNNNNNNNNNNNNNNNNNNNNNNNNNNNNNNNNNNNNNNNNNNNNNNNNGUCAAAAGAAUUGACAGUUAGGUCACUUUGGGCCAAAAAAAAAAGUAUCCAAAAGAUGCCCUAUAUACCUAUAUGUUGCAAAAGAAAAUUACCCAAAAUUUUGUCACACACAUCUAGUAGCUGCGUUGAAACCAAAAACAAUGCAGCAGGAACCCAACCACUAGCGAUGAGACUACCCCACCGCCGACAGUCGCCACCCCACACCUACUCUGACCGACUGUGCAGCGCAUGCCACCGCCGCGACUCAAUCGGCCGUUCUCAGCCCCGCUACCACCCUGCCGCUUGGGAUGUCCGCUACCAAAUCUUGGGCCGGCGCAUCCGAUUCCACCGACUCUGGCCAUAGAAAGUUGGUGUAGCUACCGGGACAUCCCCCUUCAGUAUUUUGGCUAAUUUUGAACUUUUUGUCCGGAUCACAAGAAAAUGUUAGUGUCGUCCAUGUUGCUGAAGGGGAAUUACUACUUGGGGAUUUUCUCACUGAAUAUUGGAAUAUACUUACUUUAUGCAUGCCAUCAAAUAUAGCUCAUCCCCUGAAAGAACAAAGAUUGCUGAUGUUUUUUUCCACGGUUUUCUAAAACAAUGUUGAUCUUUUUCAGAGAAAUGCAAUGAUUAUUUUUAGAGAACAUUCUGCAAAUCAACUAAAUAAGAGUCUAGGCAUUCUUCUUGUUUUUUUCGGGGGGAAGGUGUCUAGGCAUUUAUUAACAUGUAGAACUUACAAUGCAUGGGGAAUGAAAGAUCAAAUAUACCUUGCUCUCCUUUCUUAUUUUAGUGGCUGUUAAUGUCAUCAUAAAGAAUAUUACACAUUAGGAUUGAGUUGUUUUGCUCUUCUAUUUUCCAGUAAGCCCUGCGAUAUUUUACAACCCAUCGGACACCCUUGUGGAUCUGAUGCUAUGUAGAUCAAGAUUAUUUCUAAUUACCUGCGAGACACCGACAAAGUAUAUCAUGUGGAAUUUCUUGUUCCUGUGGUUGGGAGGCUAGGCAAAAAAAAUAUAUGAUCAUCACAAUAAUAUUAGGUCUUGGAACCAUGACUUAUUACAUAAUCAGUUUAUUCACUCUACAUAAAGCAGCGGACUCACAAAGACACAUGCAUAUUGGAUACUACAUUAUAUGGAAGGCGUGCAUGCAUCCGUAACCGAUCACACCCUUAGCUGCACCUGGGGCUCUGCACGAAGUUGCUAACCGGAAAUGACUGGUCGAACGUGGCUGCAUGCUCACUACCAGUAAACCUCAGCUUGUCACCGACGCGUUGAACCGUGUGGAAUGCGAGAAAAUCCCACUCAAAUUGGAUCCUCACGCCACCCAGUUGAGUUAUGGAUCCGGGCCGGAUAACACCACUGACUAUGCUGUCAAACCGAAUCUUGUGUGAUCCACCGGCAACCGUAACAUUGAAGUCGCAGGAGGCGGGGAGUGUCACCUCAACGGCGCCCCCAUGGUUCACGUACGACUUCACACCCUGAGGCAGGAGAGCCCGCGGGAAGUUGUUUUUCUCCAAAAGGUCGUACGCUGUGUCGGAGGUGGCUGCUUGGAGGACAGAAGCCAGGAAGACGAUGAGGAGCAGAUGCCGGAUGGCCAUGUCUAGCUAACUGUUGCUGCUUACAAAUUGUAUCAAGGAAUAUGAGGAACUAGGAAGUAUGUGUAGACUGAGGCCCUGGCCACGUAUUAUAUAUGCUGCCCAACGAAAUCAAAGUCAAUCGUACUUUAAUUGCAUUUAUUUUGUUCCUGAUUAUCACUCCAUCAACCACCACAUCAAAUAUGCUAAAAAUAUCAUCCCAUUAAAUCAUAUUUAUUUCUGGCCUAGAACAUUCUAUAGUUAAUGGUUAUGCCAAAACGUUCCUCAAAUAUUCAUAAUCAAUACGUACCAUAAAAUGAGACUGAAAUUUCAGAGCAACAUUCAUUUACGUACUUCACAGCCGACAUAUGAAACAUAUGCAAAAACCUAAAAAUGAAUCAAGGGGAAACAUCAACAUCCAAACAGUUUGAUCCUUGAUGUUGGCUUGGGUACCAAUGAGGCUUCUCUUCUCUUCAAAUAAUGUUGUGCAGUGCAACUAAAACAUAAAACACCCGCAAGAAAGAAAUAUUUCAUUUAGAUAUACUUGAGUUUUACAUGAGUAUGCGGUGCAAUAGAAUGAUUAUCUCCCAUUGUGCAGAUCAUCUCUUUCAGGAUGCCUACUCAGGCCAGCACAGACUCAUACAUAACAUCUCCGUGAAAGUUUCCACAAUGUUAUAGCAUGAACUCCCAGACCGUGAGAGAGGCUCAGUACCCAUAUCCAAAAUGAAGAGUGCGGAGGAGCAGGUGCCUACCCCUCCACCUUCCACUUCUCUUAAAAUUUUCCUGUGCAAUGCAACUCAACUAAAAAACAACUCCAAGCAAUAUAUUCAAUUUAUAUCUUGUUGGGUUAUGAUACGUCUCCAACGUAUUUAUAUAUUUUUUAUUGUUCCAUGCUAUUAUAAUUGUUGGGUCAUGAGCCGAAAGCAAGCCAUCGAACAUGCCAAUGUUGGAUUGGAUGAGAUUGUCGACCGCCUGAAGGAGGUUCUCAUCGUGAUCCUUGAAGAGCCGGUCCAGACCUACGGUGAAAUACGCUCGUUGAAGCGCGUACACGCCACACCUUUCCUUGGACGGCUUGUCCAUCGCCUCCGCUCACGGCCGAUCACGCCACCGCAUCCCGUGAUGGUGUCGCGGCAACUCCAGGACCACUUAAUCUUAUACCAAUUGUGAGCAACUCACCUGAUCGAGAGGAAUUGCUAGGGAUUAGAAUUCGAAAUUGCGGAAAUUGGUUUCUUAGCUAGACGUCCGUCCACCCUCACAGCUACACUACACCGCAUGUUGUCAUCAUCCAAAUCCCAGCCAGGAGAUAGGAGAGAAGUAUAAUGCCUACUAGCUUAGCCCGCGCGGCGACACGCCGCGCCCAUCGAUCAGUCGCGACUAUGUAGACUAUGGUCCAAGCAAUAGAGUAAUAAGUAGUUAUGAUGAAAUUUGUUGCAUAACUUGAGGCUUUUUAGCAAAUUCUUUUGUUCACAACAAUUUAUAGACACAAAUAUCUAUCUUUCGUGGAAACUUUUAGUUUAUUUUGUACAUAGCAAGGGUCUGUCCACCAAGUUGAAACAAAUACACAACAUGACCAAAAGUAAGGAACUUCAGAACAGUGCUUUCGUAGCUAAAAUUUAAUAAUUUUUCACAUUUCAUAACAUAAAUACUUAACUAAAACUUACAUCUGAUCUGAAGUACAACCAUUGAGACAGUAAAAAAACCACUAUUUUGAUCAUCAGAAAAAAAUUAAUGUGCAUUUCAUGGAAAAAGUUUAGAGACAAAAUAAUUUAGCCAAGAGAAAAACUAUUUCAGAUCACAAAAGGCGCUCCAAAGAGUAAUUGUGUAUAUUAUUCAAAAGAACACUUUGUUACCUUCAGGCUUUAAUUAGCCCCAUUGUAUCUUGUGGAAUCAUGCAGUGAUACAAAUUCUUACCAUAAACAAAAAAAUUAAGCAGCUCUUAAUAUAGAAACAACCAUAUCACUCUGAAUCAAGGGAGCAUGAUGCGAUGAACUGAUGACGGGGAAUCUAUGGUAGCAUAUACCCAGGAAACAGUGUUCAUGGAAACUUUGUUAAACAACCCCUUGCUCAGCUUAAAAGUAUUCCUUCCUGGGUCUCCACUGAAACAAAGCAAUAUUUAUACACCCACAGGUGAGAACAAUAUGAGAUUGUUCGAUAUAAAACCAACAAUGCUUGAACAUACUUGUUUCUCUACCUCACCAUGUGGCAACCAGAAAAAGCUUUAACAAUUUAAAAACCACUUGCAAAUUGAAGUUGAGAGCCUUCACUUAUUUCUCGAAAUGGAAGGAGGAAGGGGCCUUAAUUUGUCCCAGUAACCCCAUGAAUAUAAUUAGCCAAAUAUGUGGCAUUUCAUCUUAUUACAUGGUCAUGCUGAAGGAGGGAACAUCAAUAAAAUUAGGCAUAAGAAAUCCAUCAAAUGAAGAGAGAUGUACUUAGAAAUAAGAAUAACAAACAUUCUCAGAUACUAUGUACCUUAUCCUGCCUCUAAGAAUAUGUCAAGAAGGUGAAUCAUUCACUUUUAUGUUACCGUUGCUGACAACGGACAACUGUGGAUGGAAACAAAAUUCUCAGCAAUGCAUAUAUGAAACUAAGUAACAUGACUUAGAAAAUAUAAUGUAAAAUAUCACAAUAAACUACUACUAAGUAUGUUCAAUAGUAAUACAACCUCAGUUUGUACCCCAGAAAUUUCUAUCACCAAAACAUCUUAGAAGGUUCAGUGCUAGUGAUGUGCCUGCCAUAAGACCGAAUGCCAAUUUCUAGUUAAAAAAUAACCGCGCAAGACCAUAUUCCUCUACCGCAAAGGGUAUAUGAUCAAGUGGGGCCAACUAAAGACAGGCCCCACGAUUCCAUUUUUUAAUGUAUGUUGUUGUAUAAUGAAUGACGCGCUUGUAUGCUUACGUGACUAUUUGGUUUUUGAUGUGAUGGAAAUUGGAGGGAAAGAUGCUGGACGGACUAAUUUGAUCAAUCGGGUGAGUAGAAGUAUUAGAGUUUUGGCCAUCUCAUCCAUUAAAUUUGGAUGGAGGGUAUGCAUCUUAAUAUGAUAAACAUAUAUGCAUACCGUAUAUGGGUUAUAUACAUAUAAAAAUCAGUGCAGCAGGCAUUUUUUCUGAAUCUAAACAUCUUGGUGGCCGAGUUCCAGUGUGAAAAUAUUGGUUUUAGUCCCUGGUCAAAUGGACUGAUGCAUAUUAUGUUUGGUUGUACCACGAAAAAUAAUUUGGUUGCUUUAAGACAUUCAACCGAGGUAGACGAUGCAAUUUUGGCUGACAUGAAGUUUUACGAUCAUCAAUAUAGCAGAAUAUGCAAAAGAUGGGAUAAAGCAAGUCAUAUCUACUCCCUCAGUCCCAUAAUAUAAGAGCGUUUUUGACACGAUGGAGGGAGUAGUUUGUUUAUUUGUUUGAGGAACACUUAUUUGCUUGGAGAAUAAUGAAGUGUGCUUGCACCGGUGCACAUGAGAUGAACUUGAACAAACGAUCUGCAUUCAUAUAUGCAUUGUACCAGAAAUCAGUGCUGCUCUAACUUGCCUCUGCAUUGCCUCUGAACCAGUGCUGAUCUAUAUCGGAGAUCAGGAAUUUACUCAUCAGGUCACUGCAUCUACUUUAUUGCGAUUAAACCACCAAACUCAAAGAAAUACCUGCAAUUUAUUUAAUAGUCUUAUUUGAUUUUUUAUUCAGAAUGCGUUGAGCUAUUUCUUUUGCCGAGCUACAUUCUUGUACAUUGGAUUCUCAAGGAGCAUCACUUGCGAGACAUAUCUUCACAUACUACCAUUUCAGAACACCACUCCCUUCACGCACAGGACAUACAUGUUCUACAUCCACCCCUCACACUCCUAAUUUCAAAACCGAGUUGGCAGGUUAUUGUAAGGCAGGUAAGCAACCUUCUAGAUGGAAUGUUGGAAUUUACUCUGGCAAGGUAGGUCUUAAACAUAUUAUCAUCUGGCUAUCUACUGUUUGAGCUCCCCAUGCUGCUAACACCAUCAAAUAUUGUUUGCUCCGGACAUCUUCAUAUGCCAAUUUGACCUUCUUUUUGGCAGACACAGUAUCUCAGAACAUCUAAAUUGACUCCUUGCACAGGUCUCUGAAUUGACACAAUCAGAAGGAUAAAACAAUCGCUAGAGCUCUUAUAGGAAGUCAGCCAUCAUUUUACUUAGACUAAAGAAGGUGUCUAUCACAAAAAAGGAAAAAAAAGUAAGUGCGAAGAAACACAUGUAGGGUUGCACAUAAUUUGUAAGAGAUGAUCAAGGCAUAUAGUUGCAGCAAGUAGCAAAUGGCAUGAAUUUAUUCAUGAUGCACUCACGCAUCAAGGGUGUAAAUCUUCUUUAGCUAGGUCCAAAUGCAGAUAGAUACAGUACAUGAAUGAUGUGUGAUAUGUCAUUGUAGGUUUCAGACCUGAUGAAAAGUUUAUUACAGUACACGAAAAAUAUUCAUGAAACGGUUAUACAGUACAGGAAUGAUGAGAAAUCGGAAAUUUCUGUACAGGAAUGAUGUAUAAUAAAUUGCUGAGAGGAAUAAAGAAGAUGCAGAAUGUCUGAAACUUCUCAAAACUGGAAACAAUUAUACAAAAGCUACCUGACAGAGUAUACGGCUAGGAAUCUGCCUAAUUCAGUGUCUCUUAUAAUCCACCAACGACUACGGCGUAAUCACCAUCAUUGCGGCUCAACCAGAAUUCGAUCGAAUAAUGAGGCAAAUAAAGCAGCUAAUAUGGGGUAAAUGCACACUAACUUGGCAGCAAGAACAGAUGGGUCAUAAGCGCCUUCAGUGACCCUACGACCUGCAAAUGGCAGUAUACAGACAGUGCGCCUUUACUCUGAAUAACCGAGAAGGAGCUAUCUUUAUCCUCUUUUUUUGCGGGGGAGCUGUCUUUAUCCUCCACUCAAGCUAGAUAUACUUACAAAGUUAGAGUUGUAUAAAGUUUUGAAGCGUAGCGCUGUGAAUGGAUCACUCGUCCAGCAGCCUCCUGACACAUAAAAUAGGCAGAGCGAGCAUUACAAGGUCCCAUAACUCGGGGUCAGGCUAGUCGAACACGAUGACGCGCACCACCGUGCGCCACGCCGACGCCAGGUAGUAGAGCGCGGGCCUCUCGCACUGGUUGUGCGCUAGGGGCUUCAUGUUGAACGCGCGCGCCUUGUAGUCAGCGGGCCAGUACCAGUUCAAGAACGUCCACGCCGGCAUCUGCAUCUCCCGCGCCAGCACAACGCCCUCGGCACCGUCACCACGAACCCCCACGCCACUGACACCGUCCACCGGUUCGCCGCGAUGUAGCAUAUCAACUGGUGCAUCACCCCCGUCGAACAGCCUCCGCAGAGACGCCGGGCGCGAACGCAUGUUGGGGAUAAGCGGUCGAGGUGGUGCAGCGAGUCAGCGACACCAGCGGUGCCACCUGGUGGGCGGCGAGGAGGCCCAGGAGGUCACCAUACACGCCUUACUCGUGGAAGCCCGAGUGUCGGCACACCCACAUCCGCCAUGCCCCAUGCACGAUGUAGUAGGGGACGGCGAGGAGGUUGUCCGGGAGGAAGACCGUGUUGUCGACUUGUCGUCACCCAUGACGAACCAGCUACACCUGGGAGACUGAGGCGGAAGGUCUCGGAGAUGACAGUCGACGUGUGAGAUGCAUGCGGAUGGCAGAGCGAUGACCGUGCGUGUAGGAGAAACCGGAGGUAUCCGGUAAGAUCUUGAUGUAUAUGCACUCCUUCCGCUUCUCCAACAGGCGCGCCAACGCCGUGAAGCCGAACACUGUAGCGUAAUCGUCGUUGUCGACACCGUGGCUGUGGCAGGUUGCGGUGGUGGUGGCGUACUCGUCGUCAACACCACCGUAUCUGUGGAGGGUGGUGGUGGCAUCCUCGCCGUCGACACCACCGUGACCGUGGCGGGCAUCAGCAGGGGCCUCGCCAGCGGCAACGUGACUAAUCAGGAGGAUAGCGUUGUGGGCGGCUUCUUCUGGGUGGAGGCAGCCGGGCGCUGCCACGCUGGGCAAGAUGCUAUGUGCGAAGAAGAGCCCUUUUAUAGGCCAGUACGGCGGUGAAUGGGUGGCUGGGUUAUGCACCGCACUGGAGCAGAGUUUUCGGGAGCGUCUAGAACACACGGCUGGACAACAGCGGCAGUAACAAAAAGGUACAUAUCGAUUGGGCCAGAAGCGGUCACGACAGAAAUACAGAGAAGCAUCGAUGUGUCUGGAAAGGGACAUAUCGAUUGGGCCAGAAGCGGCCGCGACAGAAAUACAGAGAAGCAUCGAUGUGUCAACCAACCGAUCGCCACACCCGUUGAAGAAAUUUGAAUCAAAAAACUGAACACACCACUCAUUUCUACCCUGCCGUGUACCAAAAAAAUACCACGCGCCAUACCCACAACUCACCAUAGGUCACUUUCAUCCAAUUGGUUUAAUCUCAAAGCGAAAACCUUGCCUGCAAUAGAGGCUUGGGUAUUUAAACUAGUGAUCGCUAACAUAGUAGAAGGGCGUGCUCAUAGUCCAUCAACCAUCGCGGUGGGUUGAUCUCGAACCUAGGCUGCGGUUAGAGCAUAAAAAUUGUAUGCGAUAUUGAGUCCAUCACACAAAGUUAGAACAUACAAACUAUGUGCAAUAGGAAGGGUCCAUCACACACGGUUAUAAUUAAAAAUCGUGUGCUCGGAUGGGUUGGCGAUUGGGGUGCCAAUACACACGCUUUCAAAAAGGUGUGCGAUGAAUGGGCUCGACUAGGUCUAACAUAAGUGCUACAUUAUACAAUUAUUAAUUUUUUACAAGCAAACAUAGCACCAGACAUAAUUCACAAUUGGACAACCCAUCGCACACUCUACGAUAUUUUGUUCUGCCAUUUCUCUACUAAUGGACAAAAGGCACUCGGCUUACAUCGGUAUGCCAACAUGAUGUACCUUGAGUGCGUUACGCUGAGUGUCAAANNNNNNNNNNGCGAUAUUGAGUCCAUCACACAAAGUUAGAACAUACAAACUAUGUGCAAUAGGAAGGGUCCAUCACACACGGUUAUAAUUAAAAAUCGUGUGCUCGGAUGGGUUGGCGAUUGGGGUGCCAAUACACACGCUUUCAAAACGGUGUGCGAUGAAUGGGCUCGACUAGGUCUAACAUAAGUGCUACAUUAUACAAUUAUUCAUUUUUUACAAGCAAACAUAGCACCAGACAUAAUUCACAAUUGGACAACCCAUCGCACACUCUACGAUAUUUUGUUCUGCCAUUUCUCUACUAAUGGACAAAAGGCACUCGGCUUACAUCGGUAUGCCAACAUGAUGUACCUUGAGUGCGUUACGCUGAGUGUCAAACCCGCCGAGGCAAAAUCAGCCUUUGCUAGGGGGUCUGCACACCCAAUGGCGGAGCUAUGUUGGNNNNNNNNNNNNNNNNNNNNNNNNNNNNNNNNNNNNNNNNNNNNNNNNNNNNNNNNNNNNNNNNNNNNNNNNNNNNNNNNNNNNNNNNNNNNNNNNNNNNNNNNNNNNNNNNNNNNNNNNNNNNNNNNNNNNNNNNNNNNNNNNNNNNNNNNNNNNNNNNNNNNNNNNNNNNNNNNNNNNNNNNNNNNNNNNNNNNNNNNNNNNNNNNNNNNNNNNNNNNNNNNNNNNNNNNNNNNNNNNNNNNNNNUCUUGUAGUGGAGAAUUUUCAACGUAUGAUGUAAAAUAGCCGUUGUGUCAAAAGAAUUGACAGUUAGGUCACUUUGGGCCAAAAAAAAGUAUCCAAAAGAUGCCCUAUAUACCUAUAUGUUGCAAAAGAAAAUUACCCAAAAUUUUGUCACACACAUCUAGUAGCUGCAUUGAAACCAAAAACAAUGCAGCAGGAACCCAACCACUAGCGAUGAGACUACCCCACCGCCGACAGUCGCCACCCCACACCUACUUUGACCGACUGUGCAGCGCAUGCUGCCGCCGUGACUCAAUCGGCCGUUCUCAGCCCCGCUACCACCCUGCCGCUUGGGAUGUCCGCUACCAAAUCUUGGGCCGGCGCAUCCGAUUCCACCGACUCUGGCCAUAGAAAGUUGGUGUAGCUACCGGGACAUCCCCCUUCAGUAUUUUGGCUAAUUUUGAACUUUUUGUCCGGAUCACAAGAAAAUGUUAGUAUCGUCCAUGUUGCUGAAGGGGAAUUACUACUUGGGGAUUUGCUCACUGAAUAUUGGAAUAUACUUACUUUAUGCAUGCCAUCAAAUAUAGCUCAUCCCCUGAAAGAACAAAGAUUGCUGAUGUUUUUUUCCAUGGUUUUCUAAAACAAUGUUGAUCUUUUUCAGAGAAAUGCAAUGAUUAUUUUUAGAGAACAUUCUGCAAAUCAACUAAAUAAGAGUCUAGGCAUUCUUCUUGUUUUUUUCGGGGGGAAGGUGUCUAGGCAUUUAUUAACAUGUAGAACUUACAAUGCAUGGGGAAUGAAAGAUCAAAUAUACCUUGCUCUCCUUUCUUAUUUUAGUGGCUGUUAAUGUCAUCAUAAAGAAUAUUACACAUUAGGAUUGAGUUGUUUUGCUCUUCUAUUUUCCAGUAAGCCCUGCGAUAUUUUACAACCCAUCGGACACCCUUGUCGAUCUGAUGCUAUGUAGAUCAAGAUUAUUUCUAAUUACCUGCGAGACACCGACAAAGUAUAUCAUGUGGAAUUUCUUGUUCCUGUGGUUAGGAGGCUGGGCAAAAAAUAUAUAUGAUCAUCACAAUAAUAUUAGGUCUUGGAACCAUGACUUAUUACAUAAUCAGUUUAUUCACUCUACAUAAAGCAGCGGACUCACAAAGACACAUGCAUAUUGGAUACUACAUUAUAUGGAAGGCGUGCAUGCAUCCGUAACCGAUCACACCCUUAGCUGCACCUGGGGCUCUGCACGAAGUUGCUAACCGGAAAUGACUGGUCGAACGUGGCUGCAUGCUCACUACCAGUAAACCUCAGCUUGUCACCGACGCGUUGAACCGUGUGGAAUGUGAGAAAAUCCCACUCAAAUUGGAUCCUCACGCCACCCAAUUGAGUUAUGGAUCCGGGCCGGAUAACACCACUGACUAUGCUGUCAAACCGAAUCUUGUGUGAUCCACCGGCAACCGUAACAUUGAAGUCGCAGGAGGCGGGGAGUGUCACCUCAACGGCGCCCCCAUGGUUCACGUACGACUUCACACCCUGAGGCAGGAGAGCCCGCGGGAAGUUGUUUAUCUCCAAAAGGUCGUACGCUGUGUCGGAGGUGGCUGCUUGGAGGACAGAAGCCAGGAAGACGAUGAGGAGCAGAUGCUGGAUGGCCAUGGCUAGCUAACUGUUGCUGCUUACAAAUUGUAUCAAGGAAUAUGAGGAACUGGGAAG